rnacentral:lncRNA from 1 species
GAACCGCAACUUGAGAGACCUGGAAAUGGCAAAAUCAUCUUCUCCUCCAAGCCCUAAAAGUGUUUUAUUUCAAAAUUGCAUGGGCCCGCAUUUGGCACAAUUCAGCAGACGCUGACCUGCUUGUAGUGGCUGGGUCUACCGUCUGGAUAUCUCAUCAGUGUCAUUUUGUAGCCUUCACGCUUGAGAAGCAACUGUUGACUCAACUCGAGUUGCUCACAAGCCAUUUCUCCGGCAUGCACACUUGAACCUCGGAUGACUUUGGAGUGCAGCAGCAUGAACUUGCCAUCCGCCAGCUCCACCACCGCGUUGUGCCAUGGCGUUGGGAUGUGGAAGUUCUUCUCCUCGGAAGAACGCUGCGCUGCCACUAGAGAGGAAUGGAUGAUUUUGAUACCAUACUUGGGGCCUCGAUUUGGAUGCGGAUGGAUGGAGAUGCGCAGCUGCAACGGGAAGAGCCACUCCACCAUGGCCGAGUAUGCACGGUUCCUGAGGAUCAUGAGGAAGGCAACCUGGCUGCACAGCUUCUUCUUGGCCGACUUUGACGGGAGAUUCUUACAACUCUUGUGUUCGUACAAGUCCUCGAUCAUGAACCUGGAGAAGCCACGAUAAAGAUUGCGUGUCUCCGGGUCCUCCUUGAUCUCCUUGGUGACGGUUGACUCGUCACAGCCAAACAAGCACAUGAGAGCUCGCCUGGCAUUCUCUGCGUUCGCGGUGAGCUCAGUCGCAACGGGAUGCUCCACGGUGGUGUUGGAGAUAAGCUUUGCAAUGUCUCUGUAACUGUGGUUGUCCAGCAGAAACUCAUCCAGGCGAAAGAAAUUGACCAAGCCCGGAUACAAGUUGUGUGCCAUCUCCCAAAACAUCUCGCCAUAUGAAUCCACAGCAGCGUCGUCCGAGCCGACGAGAUCGGAGAAGACAUGGCCAUCCGAGACGACGUUGUAGUGCACGCCUGGAGCAUACACGGCCGUGAUGAGAUCCGCAACAAUCUUCAUGGAAUGGAUGGCCAGCUCCUCGGCCAUGUCCGGGCACUUUCCCAGAGUCUUGUCGGGAUUGCACGACUUGACUGGAAAUGCCGGCAAGAUGAACUCGAGUGGGAUAUUUCUUACGACGUGGUACCUCACCCUGUCUGCGAACCUCUGCUUGCCCCCGCUGGUGAACCACUGGUCGUGCUUUGGGAAGUGGAUGUAAUUCUUCUCAAUGAUGUCCACAACUUGCGAGGUGAUGUCGUCCACCUCUUGAGGUGUGUGCGAGCUGAAGGGCUCCAGAAGGCAAUCUCUGGUCAUGACGCUGUUGUCCAGCAGCAGAGAGGCCAGAUACUUCAUGUUCUCGCUAUCCUCCUCCUGGAUGAAAACCACGCCCUCGAAUCCAUUCCCAAUGUAUCUCUCGUAGACGGUGGCUUCCCACGAAGAGCAUGAAUCGGCUCCAAGCAUGGAAAUCGUGUAUCUGUUGAUCUCUGGAGCAACGGAGCGUGUGGCUUGCUUGACUGCCUCUAGAUCUUCUGCUGUACUCGCAACCAUGGAAGAAAACAUGAAUUCGUCACUACUGCUCUUCUGAGUGGCAACUUGGGGGACAUAUCUCCUGGCAGACUGUGAGAUGAAGGCAACCUCGCCAUUCUCCUUGUGGAUAUACAAGAAUGCAAUCUUGUCCUUUGGAAAAGCCAUGGAAAUCAGUGCAGAAGUUGCUAGAUUGUGUGCGUAGAAACCACUGCUGCUGUGGAUGAGCUAGCAGCUGUAUGAAUGAUUUGUUGAAGCACUAGGGCUUUAUAUAAGGGGAGUAUCUUUGACAAGAGUUUCUACAUUUGAAAUCGUGUUCAAUUUAGAUUCCUCUUUGGAAGACAAAGUCACAUCCUCUCCUUUUUCUAUUGUUCCUGGGAAGCUUCGCAUGUUUGAUCAUUCUUGAUAUUCCUUCGCUCUGUAGUUUUCUCGUCCUGAAACACAUGACGCCAAUAGAAGAAAAUGUAAAGAAUGCUAGAGUCUCUGUCUUACGGCUAAGUCGUGCCGCGUUUCUCAGUACUGGAACAGAACUUCAGCAGGGCUCGCCGCCUGAAGGACUCGAGAAAAGUCCAAGACUAGCUCUGGACAAGGACACUGUCGUCAGUCUUUUUGAAACUUCGCUCACCAACAAAGCUGACCUUGAAACGCUCGUCUCAGGCGUGUUCGCAUGACUGCUGCUACGAAUUGCCGCUUGCUUGCUUCGUCCAUGACUCCAUGCCUUGCUGGUAGCUCUGAAGAGGUGACAAAGGCACGAAGUACAGGUUCCGUGCUGGCUGGGUGUUCCAGAGCUAGACUGUAUAGGAUGUCUGCUAAGGCGUCUCUGAAGAUCACGGUCAGUUGUCCGUAGGCCACGUACCUGACGACUGUCUGUAACGCUGUUAAGUGGCUUGAAAGUGAGUACCACUACAAAUGUACCUCUACCAGUCUUGGUAUGCUGGGGACGACAAUUUCAUUGACAUAUGGUUUAAGGUCCUGAGAAAUCCGCCACGACUCCGUCUCGCUCAAUCCUCCCAGAAAAAUAGUACUCGUUAUGAACUUGGCAGCAUAAACUGCAGGCUCAGAAUCACCUCUUUGCAAAACACCUGCCAGAGCUGAAGUCGUAAAAAAAGACACCCAGGAAACUUUAAAGCUUACCAAUGGCACACCCGAAAAACUUUGCCAGCGACUUUGACGGAACAAAAACGAGAGGGAUGUCCCGGAGGCAGCUGCUGCCGAGGCUACAAAUCGCACCUAGCGAUUCAAAGGCAUUGUCUUUGCGCUGUCGAGAUUCUUGCUGACUUAAAACCACCAGCUCCAGGAAUUCAACGACAUCACUGACUUCUUGUAGGCAGUUUGACAAACAGAAGUGUAGCUCAUCGUGCAUUGUCUUAGACGACGAUACCAGGACAACAAUCUGUAAAAAUCCACCAAUAUAAGCUCGACGAAGAAAAAAACAACAAGAACUUACGCUGCACAAACAUUGGAUGCAAGAAGGAACGAGGUGCUGCUUAAACAUGCCCGUGACAAGUCCCAGCACACGGGGAAGUACAUCCUCCAUCAUGACGCCCAUUCGAGUAGCCAAAGCUCCCCACAAGUCGCACAAACUUCUAGCAACAUCAAUGCUUGUCGCCCAGUUUGUCGCUAGAACAUCAAGACUACUCCAAAUUUCUCGCAAAACUGGCACCGCAGGAUGUGCGUCUGAUUUUCUCCCAAAGUCCACAACAGCUUUUAUCGUUCUCAAGGCACUUUCCAAAGGUUUGCCAUACGCAUCAGUAACCUGUAAAUAAGCACACGUCAUUUCAAGUCAAAACCAUCUCCAUGCUAGCAAAACUUACUUGCAUCACUGAGCAUUGUUUGAUUGUAGCCACCGCCGAGGCUGUUAAGCCCUGGAUAGUUGCUUCCGAUUCAUGGACUGGCAAUGCAGCGGCAACGGCUGCAAGUCCUUCGAUCAGCAUAACGCUCUCCUUGCUUUGCAGCCCUCCUAAUGAAGUAGUGAUUGCUGUUUCGCAAGCUCCCAUCAGUGGAGACAGAGCACGCACAGCGGCUAACUGCGAUGCUGAUGCUCGGCAAAGUUCACGUAAGGAUUCAGCACCGGAUGCCUUCGCUGUACACAAGUACAAACCAAAAUAAUAAGGAGAAAAGUUUAACGAGAUAAGGAAUUUACCAUCAGGAACAGCAAGAGCUGUAAUGCUGUAGUUCACAGCUUUCUCAAGUGCUACAGGAUCGGCAGCAAUCCAUUCUGAGAAGCUUUUGAGUAGCCUUGCAGCCGUAUUGACAAGCUUCCCAGACGGCCAUCUCGCACUGACUGUUAAGACAAUGGUCAACAGAAAAUUGGUAGCUAAAGCCACGAAUGCAUACCUGAUUCCAGAAGAUUGUGUCCUCCAAAAGCCCCGGAAAACAAGCUCCUCAAAAGUUCUACGGCAGCCUUUUGAGUGUCAACAGCGGAAGUAAUCUGUUCUCGUAGACAAGAAACUGCAUACAGAUAGAAUUCCGCGUGUUGCCAACAAGAGGCUUGCAGUAAAUUGUCAGAAAUAUACACUAUAAGGUCGCACCUUAGCACCUUGAAACAGGAAGCAAUAGCCUCCUCAGCUAUGCCAUAGCGAAAUCUAUAUCGAAGUACAAAAGUUAGUAUCUGCAACAAAAACUGACAGCUUUUACCCGCAAAAAUCAUCGUCGUCUAUGUCAAAAUCGUCGGAGGGAUGCUUUGCAACCUUUGCAAGUGCCUGUAAAAGCACAAAGACUUACUUGUCAUGCUCAUGGUUAAGAUAAUUGAUAACCAGACCUCAAAGAUAGCCAGGAAUAUCUUCUCUCGAGGAACAUUUACCGAGGAGAUGGUGGCGAAACGGGGCCACGCCACUGCCACCAUUGCCGCUCCAUCAAUACCAAGACCACCGCCGCCGCCGGUUGCAUCGAUCAUCCAGUCGAUCAAGAGUAAAUCUUCCGGACCUCCUUUACAAAUCAAUGCGGGCUCGGAAGCCCCCAGAGCAGCAAGAACGCAGCACAAAGCAUGCGAGCGUCGUUGGGAGGAGCUGUUGAAGUACCUUUUGUAGCUGAGAAGAGCUGCAAAUCUGAGUUAAACCAAAACCAAUAAACAGGUAAUCCUCACCGGAAAUAACUGCUCGCACUGCAGCAUCCCUGCCUGGAAGGCAAUCGACAGCUGAAAUAAGCUCGGACAGCGCUGCAGACGACGCAAUCACACAGGACUCGUUAUCGGAUCCCAGGGAAGCCAGCAGCACAUUGAAGAUUUUCGGAUAAUCCGAGUACGUUUCAGACAAAGUGCCACCACCUUGCAACCUGGAACAUCUUAAAAAUCAGCUCAGAAUGGAGCUUGUUACAUACCAUCUCUCGAAGCACGUUAGCGUUUUCUCCAGAAGUGGGACGCUAGUUACAUUUUGAAGAAAGCCCAGAACUCGCGGGUAGGAUAACUGGAUGCAUUGCAUAACCUGACAGAGAACCUGCAUUAGCUCAAGAGAUACAAAGAAAAAGAGAAGAGGAGAACUUACUUCCCACGCAAGAGCUCGAGACCUGUGUAGCGUUUCUUCCGCGAGCGCGAUCAACAGUUCUAGCGCCAGAGACACCGCUACCUCGUUUGUCAUGUCUGUUUUCUCGAUUACAUCUGCCACCAGCUAGAAGAUCAAUCGAAAGAUUAAAACUGGAAGAAAGAACGAAGAAGAAAGAAAGAACGAACCUGGGAGCACGCCUCUCCUCCAGCAACAGCAGCAGCAGCGCUCAAAACGACGCACACCCGGCUCGCCACGAUUCUAUCUCCUACAUUUUUAGGCAAUUGCCAGAGAAGAAGAUCGAAAAUCUCGUGCGCGUCAAUCUCAUCCAGCUGGACCCAGUCCGAUCGCAGCUUGGACAGCAGCAGAUUGAGCACGAAGAACUUCACCUCCGCUGAUCGUCCCAGCGCGGAGCCAUCGGGAGGGAAGGCGAGAUACAAGGCCACAGUCCACAUUUGCGGCCUGGAAACGAAGGCGCUCACCCAUUGAUUUGCCUCCUGCUGCUGCUGCGCGUCCCUGGCAUCGAGAGCCGCGGCAAUGGCGGCCUCGAGCAUUCCUGCAUUCUUGGCGAGCUCCUCCUCCUCCAUUCUAGCCCUAAAACAGAGGCCUAGACCUAAAUUAAAAUAAGAAGAUUCCCUGAAAUUAGGGUUCUUCGUUACUUCCAUGGUAAGUGAUGGAAUGCGUGCGAUGUGGCUCUCUGAUCGAUCACUGCGCAGGCGGAUCCGGCUUCCGUGGCGCAAAUCAUCGAUGGGAAGGCAAUCGCGAAGGCGAUUCAUCAAGAGAUCGCGGAAGAAGUCGCUCAGCUCAAGGAACAGCACGGCAAGGUAGAACACAGGGCAUUUUCUUUCGUUUUGUAAUGUGUUUGUUUCCUUGGUUUGCUCAAGGUCCCUGGAUUGGCUGUUGUUAUAGUGGGCGAGCGAAAGGAUUCGCAGACUUAUGUGAGAAUGAAGAGGAAGGCCUGUGCUGAGGUUGGAAUUAAUUCCAUCAAUGUGGAUCUUCCGGAGAACAUCUCUCAGGAAGAGCUCCUGGAUCAAGUUCUAGAGCUAAACGAGAAUCCUGACGUCCAUGGUAUGUGUUUUCUUUCAUAGUUUUCGUGUUGCUCACAAGUUUUAAUCGGCAGGGAUUCUCGUCCAGCUUCCACUUCCCAAGCACAUCAACGAGGAAGCCAUCCUCAACGCCGUAGGCCUCGACAAGGACGUCGAUGGCUUCCAUCCUUUAAACAUUGGAAAGCUUUGCAUGAAAGGAAGAGAGCCAUCGUCCAUUCCAUGCACUCCCAAGGUAUGAUCAUAGAAUAAUAAUGGUGAGUUUCUCAUCUCUUGGGACUCGCAGGGGUGCAUCGAGCUUCUCAAGAGGAGCAAAAUCCCGAUUGAGAAGAAGAAAGCUGUUGUUGUUGGUCGUAGCAACAUCGUUGGAAUGCCUGCUGCGUUGCUCUUGAUGAAGAACGACGCUACCGUCACUGUGGUUCACUCGAGAACACCCGAACCGCAAGAUAUUGUAAAGGAGGCUGACAUCGUUAUUGCAGCUGCUGGCCAGCCACAAAUGGUACUUCGUUUGCUCGCAAUCUUUGUUCUUUUCUCUAACUUGGUAGAUUUUUUCUUUUUCUUUUCUUUUUUCCAGAUUAAAAGAGACUGGAUAAAACCCGGUGCUGCGGUUAUCGAUGUUGGGACAAAUGCCGUGAGUGAUCCAUCGAAGAAACUCGGCUAUAGAAUUGUCGGUGAUGUGGAUUUUGAGGAAGUGAAAACUGUUGCUGGCUGGAUUAGUCCGGUUCCAGGAGGUGUUGGUCCCAUGACCAUAGCAAUGCUGCUACGUAACACCGUCGACUGUGCGAAGGCAGCCUUUGCAAGUGGUGCCUGAUCACAGAAGAAGGAACUGGAUCUUUCCAGCAAUAAUCUCAUGAAAGUUCUUGUAUCGGCUAGUCGGUCCGGUGAGUUGAAAGGAGGUAAACAUUUCAUGUCUGCCUGAUUUCGUGGUGAAUCUUCUCGAAGCUCUUGCAGUGGAGCUGAAGAGCGUUCUUCGCAAAAAGUCUUCCGAGAAGUUGACAAUUUUUCACUCCUUGGCUGACAUUUGAAUUUCUACAGUGUUUUCUUGGCAUUGCGAAGCAAGUGGCUAUGGCGUGCGGAUCCGAGACUACUGUUGCUAAGUUGCGUGAUGGAAGAUCUCUUGCUUACGACGAGUAUGGCAGAUUGAAAGAAAAGUGAUCGUCAUCCAUGGCCUUCGGAGUUCUCGGCACCAUCGUCUCGCGUGCUCAGAGGUUCUUUUCCUAAGUUUUCUAUCAACCUCUCAGGGCCUUGUGUUUUUCUGUUUGUCCAGAAAGAGCUCGGAGUUUACUUGGUCGAAUUCCAAAUCCACAGCGCUCGAUCAGGCUUCUACUUGGACUAUCCUUGUCUUUCAGAUGAUGAUUGAAACGCAGGGUAUGGUUUCUUCAUCCUUGCAAACAAUUGGAUGGGGAUAUUUCAAGAGAAAUUCAAGCGGUUGAUUGGUGAUCCCUGUGAUAAGCACCACUGCAGAGAGGGAACGAGGUGGCAAUUAAAUGUCCUCAUUCCCCACAACUGCAGCAAAUCCAAAAAGCUAGAUUUGAAGCUGAAAUGGUCCACAGCAUCACACUUAUUGACUUUCACCAUCACACAGGCCUUAUGUUUUAUCAAUAUAAAUUGCAGUAUCUCAAGCAACGACUUUGACUUCCAGGAAGGAGUAGUCUGUGUAGCCGACGACCGGGUCUGGAGUGUAGAACGUCUGCCUGUCGUACACGUUGAGCGCCGAAUUCAGCUCAAAUCGCUUGGGCAGAUCGGGAUUUGCCAGAAAAUGCCUCCCGUACACCACCAGGUCAGUUUUCCCAGCCGUGAUUGCCUCGUUGCCGUCGUCUCUGCCGUAGCCCCCAGCCACCAACAUAGUGCCUUUGAAAGCCUUCCUCAAGGGCCAUAUGCCUGCGGCUUCUGGAGCGAUUGCUGCUCCGACUCUCAUCCUGGGUUCUACAAAGUGUGCGUACAGGAUGUUGAAUCUGUUGAGCUCCUCUGCCAUGUAGAGGCCGAGCUGCAGGGGGUUUGAGUCCACGGCUCCCACAUAGUCGGAGAACGGGGACAGUCUGAUUCCCACUCGGUCGGCUCCAACUUCUUUGGAGACUGCUUCCACUAGCUCAAGUGCGAAUCGGCAUCGGUUCUCCACGGAGCCACCGUAUUCAUCCGUCCGAUCAUUGGCGCUGUCCUUGAAAAACUGGUCGAUGAGGUAACCAUGAGCUCCGUGGAGUUCUACACCAUCGAAACCUGCAUAAAGAUUGAUAGAUUACAAACGCUACCAUCACCGAUCUAAGAAAUAAGAGUCACCAACCAGCUCUCAUUGCGUUCCGAGCAGCAAGUCGAAAAUCUUCCACAACGCCAGCGAUUUCAUGCGUUUCAAGGGCUCUUGGAGGCGAAUAGUCCGCCAUGGGAGUGCCUUGUGGAAGCAUCAACUGGCCCGGUGCUUUCCUGUUGGUACAUGAUACGGGUGCCUGUCCAUUCGGCUGAUAAGCUGCAAAAACGCUAUAUAAGCUCGAGCUUCAUGAAUCAGGAAUCAGAUUCAUACUCACAUGUAUGAGAAACUCUUCCCACAUGCCAAAUCUGUAGAAAGAAAACAGCUCCUUUGUCAUGAACAGCCUGGACAAUCGGUUUCCAUGCUUCGACUUGCUCCUCGGACCAGAUUCCAGGGCUAUGCGGAUAUCUGAAAUCCAAGCUUGCAAUUCAGUAAAACAAGAGAAUGGAGGAAGAACAGCUUUCACCCCAAUCCGGAUGGAGAAACUGCAGUGGCUUCGGCGAUCAAGAGCCCCCCUUGCGUGGCUCGCUGUGAGUAAUAAAUGGCGGCAUGAGGCUGCGGGACAUGGCCAUACGAUCUGCACCUGGUCAGGGGCGCGAGCACCACUCUGCAGUGGCGAGAUUGGAUCACACCUUGAAACUUAGUCUAAACCAAAUCUUCAAACUGUACCUGUGUUUCAGCUGAAAUCCGCCAAGCUUGAACGGCGUGAGGAGCGGAAUGUCCUUGCCCUGGAUCACCUUGCACUGAUGGUGCUCGUGCUGAUCGUUAGAUGGCGUCUGACCGCAACCCAUGGCAGCCGAGUGAUGCUAAUGGCCUGCCAUUACUAAUUAUAUAACCCCGAGCUGGAGAACUCCAAAUUGGAUUUCGUAUUCCUGUGUAAUGACAUGACUCCUCCUCUCAUCCAACGACAAGGAUGGAUCCACGACGCUUCCAGCGCAGCUUCUUAUCAGUGUCCUUGGAAUCUUAUGUCGAGAUCUGGAUUGGACUUAUGCAAAGAAUGUACAUAAAAUUUAUGCCUGGAAACUAGGGUUCUUUGUUAAGUCUGUAUGUGCCGCUUUCUGUGUAGGUGGAUGGCCAUCGCAAAAGUGAUUCAUCUUCUUUGUUGUUGCUCAAGGUCCCUGGUGUGGCUGUGGUCGUGGGCGAGUGAAAAGGUUCAGACUCACGUGAGAAUGAAGAUGCAUCAAUGUGGAUCUUCUGGAGGACACUUCUCAGGAGAGCUCAAACAAGAACAUGGGCGUCUAUGGUAUUUGUUUUCUUUUCUCUCUUUCAUGUUUCUUCCAAGUUUUAAUUCGCAGGCCACUUCCCAAGCACAUUAAAGAGGAAUACACUUGCAUAGUUUCCAUCCUUUAACAUUGGAAAGCUUUGCAUGAAUGGAAGAGAGCCAUCGUCUAUUCCAUGCACUCCCAAGGUAUGAUCCGAGAAGGAUAACACCUCUCCAUGAGAUCUUCCCAGGUUUCUAAUCUAGUUCCUAAAUCUAAAGCUACACUCCAAAAAGAUUGCUCUUACCUGGAUGUGCCAAUCCAAGUAGAAUCUGUAAAAGACAAGUUGAAAGAUGUUAGUCCAAUGCCUUUGAUCCUUUGAAGGCAGUGUAUAAGCUAGGCAUUGCAAUGAAGAGCCAAAAAGAUAAGCAGAAUAGAGAAUGUAUUUUGUAUAAGGGAUGAGUUUCAAAACAUUCGAAGUCUUACUUUUAUAGUCACUACUGGUCAUGUCAAGGUUAGGAACACAUUCCUAACUUUGAUCCUCUCAAGUUUGCAUUCCUAAACUUAAGUCUCCAAAGUGCAUUUUUCUUGGUUCUCCAAGGAGUAAAAUCCCAAUUGAGAAAAAGAAAGCUAUUGUUGUUGGUCUAGCAAAAUUGUUGUGUUGCUCUUAAUGAAGAAUGGGCCUACUGUCAUCUGGUUCACUCGAGAACAAGUGUAGGCUGACAUCUUGAUUCCAGCUGCUGGCCAGCCACAAAUGUUCCUUCACACAGUGAAUUUUCUGUUUUUUACCCAAAAAAGAUUAGAUAAAACUAGAUUAAGACCCCCUACAACCACUUAAAAGGAAUAUAUUUUUGGCAAUUAAAGAAUAGUAUUUAGAAUCACACCACUUAUCAGCAUGAGAACUAUGUAUGGUAUUAGAGAAACUUGUAAGUGUAAAAUCUACACCAAUUAUGAAUGAGGAAUAGGAAAGGUAAUUAAUAUUUAUCUAUAAGAUAGCUCUUCAAAUCUUAGUGUAGUCAAAUUGUAGUUGGUAUUUGAAGGGUUUGGAGCAGCUCUAAAACAUAAUUUUUCAUAUUUUAUUAACUAUAUCAAUAAUGAUAUUUUAAAAUGAUGAAUUGUUCCUACAUCUCCAAAGCUUUACACUUCUUUUUGUUACCUUUACUAAUGUUUUAGAGUGUCAAAGUUUAAUGGGUACACUAAUGUACAUAGUAAUGUUACUCAUCUUGAUAUCAUAUAUAUUACUAAUUUUUUCAGACAAUAUUUUUCAACUUCAUAAGUUAUCCAUUGGGAAGAAAAAUGAGUUCUUCGAAAUCUUAAAGGAAUUAUUAAUCAUGGGAUCACUUAUAUGCAUUUUAAAAAUCAUUCUAUGAUACUAACAGUUUACACUAAUUCAAAUUGGGCUGGUGUAAUUUAUGACUCUCAUCAAUCUAGAAGUGGCUUAUGUUUUCACAUAAAUUCUAGUGUUGUCUUUUAGUUUUUUUAAGUGUCAACAUUGGAUAACAUUAUCUUUUCCAAAAGCAAAAUAUGUUAUAGCUAGUUUAGCCACUCGAGAAAUUAUAUAGUUUCAUAAACUACUUACUAAAUUGGGAUAUCCUCUGUCACUCCCAUGUUUUCAUACUAUGAUAAUCAAUUUAUUAUUGCUUUGGUCAACUUCACUCGAAGUCUAAGUAUGUUAACAUACACUAUCAAUAUGUUUUAUUUGAUGUAUAAAAGAGGAAUAUUGUUAUGGGAAAAUUAGUUACUACUUAGGAUAUAGUUGGUGAUAUUUUUACAAAUAUUUUUUCAUUACUUUUGUUUUGAAACAUUGUGUCAGUCUUAAGACUACAACUGUCAUUGCUACCUAAAGGUAAAACGUUUUUUGGUUAAUAGUUUAAGUGAGUUGUUUUUAUUAAUCUUGUGUUUUAUUUGGAAGCUUAUUGUGUUUAUAUUUCUAUUAACAAAAGAGAUAACAUAUAAAUAUAGUUUAUAAAAAUGUAAAGUAGUAGAAGACUAGUUGACGUGAAGUUAAAGGGGGAUUUAGUCUAUUUUGUCUUUAUUUGGAUAUAUUUAAUUAAGGAUUAUGUAUUAGGGAUUUCAUCAACUAAGGAUUAAGUAUUUUCAUAGUGGCUCUCUUAAACAUCAUGUAGAGAGAGGAUUGUGCCUCUAUGAAUUGAUAUUGUUAGGUUGUAUUGCAUUUGUUUUUGAGAUUCAAUGUUUCUUUAGUUUUUAGAUUUCAUAAUGGUUAGAGUUUUUGAGUUCUUGCACAAUAUCUAAUUUGAAUAUCUUGGAUUUUGAGUGGGGCUAAAUUAUCUUUAAUUUUGAUAAUCAAAGUUAUCUAGGCACUUUUUGAGUAUUGUUUGAUAUCAAAGAUUAUCGUUCAGUUGACAAAGAUUGUUAGAAUAGGUCAGAAAAGAUAAUAGAUUGUCAAAACAAAUUAUUAAAAAAGAGUGUGACAAUUUUUGUCAAUUGAAUAAAAAUGCUCUUUGAUAUUGAAAAAUACUCAAAAUAUGGCCUAGAUCAUCUUAAUCUUCAAAAUCAAGGAUAGUUUGGUACUAAAGAAUUUGGAAAACUCUCAUUGCCACUAUGAAAUCCAAAAAUAUUAGAACAAAGCCAAAUAUUAAAUCUUAGAAACCUAUGCAAUGCCAAAUCAUUUAAUAAGAUCAAUUUGUGAAGGCACAAUCCUCUCUCUAGAGAAAGGAUAAUGAUGUUUGAAAGGGCCAUAAUGAAACUAAUAUAUCCCAAAUAAUCACUUCAACUAUCAUGUCCACCCCAAAAAAUCACCAUAACGGAUCAAUCAUGGUAGUAUCCAAGGUACAUGAGAGUGAUGAUCUAGUCAUCCAAACAAAAACAGAAUGGUUAAAAAAAAUAUAAACCUAAGUACUUAUAUGAAUUAUAGUAAUUUUCAAAAAGCACUAAUAGAGUCUCUUCUCAUUAUGUGAACUGAAUUCCAAAGGAUUCAGUCUGUGGUUCAAAAUUUUACUAUUCAUAUGUUUCUUGCUAUAGCUAUUGAAUUUAAUUACAACAUUCAUCAAAUAAAUGUAUAUACAACAAUCAGAAGGAUAAGAACAUUUAGUAUAUAAGUCUCAAUGCUCACUUUAUGGACUAAAAUUAGUAGCAUGUGCUUGGUUUUAUAAGAUUUAUUUAUUUUUUUAUGGAGAAAAGUUUCAAAACUAAAUAUUUAAAUGUAAAUUCAAAUACUAUUUUAAAGGGACACCAUACUUUUUUGUGCUUAUUGCUUUUUAUAUUAAUGAUAUUAUUUUUAUGAUGAUAGCUUGAGUUUUUUUUUAUCAAUUUUAAGUCCCAGUUUAAGCAUAACUUUUGAUAUGGUCAAUAGUGGCUCUAUACAUUAUUGCUUAGAUAUUGAACUCAUACAUAACCUUGAUCGAGGUAUUUUCCUUUCAUUUUGUUUUCUGAAUUUCAUUAAGGUUAUCAUAUUUAAUCUGACUCUAUUGCACUACAUUCUUCUAUGAAACUUUCCUAUAUUUUGGAAUGAUGGAUUGUAUUGUAGUCAAAUUUUACAUCUCCAUUUUAUUCACUUUACUAUAUUAGGGUUAUUUGGCUUAGUUCUUCAAUACUUUUAAUCAUGGCCUAUACUCGUUUUGGAACUUGUUCAAUGAUAUUAAUAGCUUACAUUGAUUCAAAUUGGGUUAGUGAAAUUCAUAACUCUUAGCUCCUAUGUUUACAUAAAUUUUUGUGUUCUCUUGGGUUUUUAUAUGUGAACAUUAUAUAGCAAUAUUUGCUAUAGAAGCAGAAUAUGUUAUAGUUAGUAUGGCCACUCAAGAAAUCAUAUAACUUCAUAAAUUACUUAUGACUUCAAACAUCCUUUAUUACUCCCUAAAUCUUUAUAUUGUGAUAAUCAAUUUAUUAUUGUUUUGCCAAAUAUUUAAAUUUUCACUCAACUUUUAAAUAUAUUAAUACACAUACUAUUACUAUAUUCAUUUUGAAGUAUGAAAGAAGGAUGCCAUUAUGGCAUUAGUUACUACACAAGAUAUAAUGGCUAGUCAUUUUACAAAGUCUCUUUUGUUAUUUUUAUUUUUGAUUUAUAUAUGGUUUUUUCUGGUAUGAUAUUUUAAAUUAGUUUUUAGUUAUUAAUUAUGUGGGUUUGGCUACAAUGUUAGCCAUCAGAUUGGUUUCAAUAUUUUUUUUUAUAUCAACUAGGUUUUCAGGCUAAUCAAAUAUACAGAUUUUUAUAUUUCAUUUCCAUACACUCUAUAUUAUAUUUUUAAAGAGAAAAUAUAAAGAAAAUAUAAAUUUGUGCUCAUAAAAGGUGCUUGAUAACUCCUUCAAAACAAAAAGCUAUCAAGUGUAAAUGGGUUUUAAGGUUCUUUUGAUAAGUUUAAAGCUCGGUUAGCUGCAAAAGGAUAUUUGUAAGUUGUUAGUGUUGAUUUUCAAUAUAUAUUAUUUCCAACUAAAGAUUAAUCUGGACUUACAGAUAUAGACUAGAUACUAACAAAAACCUGUUAUUAUCAAUCACAUCGGAAGAAAAUAGGGUAUAGCCAAAGGAAGUAAUAUUCAAUGGAUCAUUCAUGCAUUAGGUAGCAAUCAAGAAGGAAUAGGAACUUUUCCGAGAAUAAUCUCACUUGUAUUGACUUGUCGGUCCUUGAGAAAUCUUCUCGAAAGCUCUUGCAGUGGAACUGAAUCUUCUUUUUGGUGGACUGAAAGCGUGUUCUUUCGUAAUAAAGUCUUCCAAAGGUGAGCUACUCCUUUUGAUUUCUACAGUGUUUCUUCAUUGCAAAGCAAGUGGCUAUGGCGAGCGGAUCCGAGACUACUCUUGCUAAGCUGCGUGAUGGACGAUCUCUUGCUUACAUCGAGUAUGGCAUUGAAAGAAAACUGGCCACUCACAAAGUGAUCGUCAUCCAUGGACUUGCGAGUUCUCGGCACCAUCGUCUCCCUUGCUCAGAGGUUCUUUUCCUAAGUUUCCUAUCAAUCUCUCAGGGCUUUGUGUUUCUCUGUUUGUCCAGAAAGUUGUCAAGGAGCUCGGAGUUUGUUUGGUCGGAUUCGACAGGGCUGGCUAUGGAGAGAGUGAUCCAAAUCCACAGCGUUCGAUCAGAUCUGAUGUCUCGGAUAUCGAAGAGCUAGCAGAUCAUCUGCAGCUUGGUGACAAGUUCUACAUUGUAGCCACUUCCAUCGGCGGCUACUCUGCUUGGGGAUGCCUCAAGUACAUACCGCACAGGUUCUAUCCUCUAGAUUUUUCUCCGAGUCUUCUGAGAGUUUUUGUACUUUCCAGAAUUGCUGGAGUCUCGAUGAUCGCUCCAGCAGUGAACUUCUGGUGGCCAGGCUUGCCACAAGAUCUGUCAAAGCAAGCACUUAGCUCUCGAGUGCUUUUGGAUAGCUUGAUCUUGAAUGCAGUCCAUCAUACUCCAUGGCUUCUCAACUGGUGGAGCUUUCCAUCCGGUCCUAUGCAUCUCGACGAGGUAGACAUCAAAAUCCUCACGGAAUCUCCAAUCAUAAAGGUGAGAACUUUUGCUACAAAACAUUCCAAUCCAUAUGGCCAUUUCGUUUUUCUUCUCAGGAGAUAAGUUUGCAACCUACACAGCGAUCUCAUCGUCAAUCUCUCAACAAAGACAUGCUCCUCCAAUUUGGAAAGUGGGAGUUUGAUCCGCUCGAGCUCGAGGAGCCCGGAGAUUUUCGCGUCUCGAUCUGGCAAGGCGAUCGAGACUAUCCAGUCCCAGUGGAGCUGCAGCGAUUCGUCCACCAAAAGCUUCCAUGGAUCGACUAUCACGAAAUCGCGGGCGUCGGCCACUUGUUCGUGCUUGUUCCAGGCUAUGGAGACGAGAUCAUCUCCAAUCUCGUGCUCCCUCGCGAAAACUAAACGAUUUAAAAAUUUAAAUUAACUUUCGCGCUCUAGUUUGAGUGUUCUUACUAUUUCUCUAGGUCUAGAGUAGAGAGCUCGGCUAUGGCGGCAGAUCUUCUCGCUUCAGUCGGAGGUAUGUGCAUUUCAAUCCCAUCCAGGAAUCGCGAUCCAGUAGCUUCUCAGGUCCCUGGCCGACAGUGGUGGCGCUAGCCGCUGGAAUUAUCAUACCCUGGAUCUACUUGCUGCUCAAGCCGCCGCCGCCCAAGAUCUGUGGAACGCGGCGCGGCCCUCCCAUCACGGCUCCUCGAAUCCGACUUCGCGAUGGCCGAUACAUGGCUUACAAGGAGCAAGGAGUUCCAAAGGAUCUGGCCAAGCACAAGGUGAUCUUUGUGCAUCCAUUCUCGGGAUCUCGGCACAGCUUGUUGCAAAUCUCACAGGUACGCAAGCUACAUUUUUGCUAGCGGGGAAGGCUCUUGAAAUUCUUCGUGCUUCUUUGCUUUCUGGUGGCCAUGAACGAACAUACGCAACUAUCACAGGAAGUUUUGGAGGGACUAAGUGUGUAUAUGGUAGCUUUCGACAGGGCUGGCUAUGGCGAGAGCGAUCCAUUCCCAGAGAGAAGCGUCAAGAGUGAAGCUCUGGAUAUCCAGGAGCUCGCGGACCAGCUCCAGCUCGGGCAGAAGUUCUACGUUGUUGGGCUUUCCAUGGGAGGAUAUCCGUGCUGGGCUUGUCUCAAGCAUAUACCACACAGGUAAGUAGUUCUAUCGCAUCGAUAGAGAUCGAUCUAAGUUCUUCCUUGUUUGGUUUUCUAGGCUGGCUGGAGUUGCUAUGAUGGCUCCAGUGGUGAAUUACUGGUGGCCUGGUGCUAGCAAGGAGAUCUCUGGCGAGGCCUUCUCCUCGCGGCCCCUGGGUGACAAGAUAACUCUCCGGAUCGCUCACUACGCGCCAUGGUUGAUGCAUACCUGGUCCAAGCAAACUUUUCUUCCAUCGUUCCUGAAUGGCAUCGGCAAGGAGAAGUUCAUGAACAAGAUGGACCUGGAGAUCACAGCAGCCAGGAAGAACGCUGGAAUUCCUGUAAGUUAUUGGGAUCACUUUGAUUGACUUAGAACUUACUCUCGGUUUUUCUAGCAUCAAGAGACCGCGAUCCAGCAGGGAACAUCCGAGUCACUGCACAGAGAUCUCGCCGUGGGGUUUGGAAAAUGGGAUUUCUUCCUCGCAAACGCCGGCGUUCCAGUUCACGUAUUCCAAGGCGACGAAGACAAUCUAGUUCCAGUGAGUAUCCAGAGACACGUCGCGGAGAAACUUCCAUGGAUCAACUAUCACGAGCUCCCUGGCGUUGGACACUUGCUGGAUUUCGUUCCAGGAUUAAACGACAAGGUUCUUACAACACUUUUAGCUUCGUGAUCGUUUAUAAGUUUCGUGUAAACAAAGACUAUGAGGAACACUAGACUAUUCCGUCCAAGGCUUGCGCGGGGUGGAAUCAUCCUCCACUAAACAAAAGCUUGGAUCCACCUUUCUCAUUUCUUUGAGGCCAAGCUCGUAGAUCUCCCGGGAAUUGGUCUUCGAUUCAAGGUAGAGUUUCUCCAUAGCUUCCACCAGCGUCAACUUUUUCCUCCAGCCGUUACAGUCUUCCAUACACUUGAGAAUUAUCCCCAAGGCACGAACAAGGUUGUUCUUCCUCCUCAUCUCAUACACUUUCGCAACAUCUGUGAUCACCUCGUCCUCGUUGUAGAUUCGCUCGUAAACUUUGAGCAAAUUCCUUUCUUCUCCAAUACGGGCGUUUGCCUUUGUAUCAUCCACCAGGAUUGCCCUCUCCAUACAAAGGCCCUCCACACGACCCUCGAGAAUCUUAGCUUUGGGAGGAAUAUCCGUCACCACCCCGAGCUUGGACAAGGCAUGUCCAAAUCUCUCCCUGGCAAUCGAAUCAAGCCUGGAAACCAGCUCCAUGCUUCUCUGUACGUGGCCCAAGCUAUAGAAAUGGAUCCAAACACUGGGCAUCUUGUCCAGAGCCACUAGAAACUCGAGAGCUCCAUGAGCAAACUGGUAAGAAAGCUCCCCCAUUACAAAUGGCCCUCUUGGAUAGAGUAGUGUUUCGUCGAUGUCGACGAACACAUCCACCCUCUUGGGUCGCCAAAUCUUCCAGAGUAUAUCCAUGUCAACCCGCAAAGCCCUAACCCUAAUUUUAUAGCGUAGCGAAACCUAAAUAUAAUUAAAGGUAAAAUUAAAAGGUAACCCACUCCACCUCAUCAUCCAGAUCAUCAUGUCUAUCUCUCUCUCUCUCUCUCUCUGUGUCUCUGCCUCAUGACAAGUGGAUGAUCGUACCUCCGUUCCUUGAUUCUGGCAUCUCGCAUUUUUUGGAAUGAUCUUCGCCUCUCGGGAUCGCGGGAUCCAUACCACAGUUGCGUCCAGCUACUGCGGGAGAGCAGCAGCGCCAGAGCUUUGCUCGCCGGGAAGCGUGUGCACGAAUUCAUCCAGGAAAGAAGAUGGAGCCACGAUCGAUUGCUGGGGAAUCUCCUUGUCCAGAUGUAUGGAGCUUGCGGCUGCGUGGAGGAGGCCAAGGCUGUGUUCGAGGGGAUUCACGGGAGGAACGUUUUCUCGUGGAAUCUCAUGCUUCUGGCAUAUACCCAGAAUGGGUAUUUUCUGGGUGUAAGAAAAGCAUUCGACCAGAUGCCCAGCUGGGACGUUGUCUCUUGGAGCACUUUGGUGACGUUUUUCUGCCAAACAGGUGACAUUCAUUCAGCAAAGAAUGCAUUCGAUUGCACACCUCAGAAAGAACUUUUGUCGUGGAACACUUUACUUGCAGCAAAUGCCCGAAAUGGGCAAAUACAAGACGUGCAAGAGAUCUUUGUUCGAAUGCCCGCACACAGCCUAGCUUCGUGGAACUCAAUAAUCACUCUUGUCUCGGACAGCGCGAACGCUAAAUAUGCAAGCUAUAUAUUUGCGGCAAUGCCCAGUCGAGACGAAAUUUCCUGGAAUUCUAUGCUUUCUGUAUAUACCCAAGCCGGGCAUAUAGACUCGGCAAAAGAGCUCUUUGAUUUUUUCCCUGCAUGGAACUUGAGGGCUUGGAACGCGAUGAUCACAGCUUACGCUCAGAUUCCUGCUUGCUCCCAUGAUUCGAGAUUGAUCUUUGAGAGCAGUCCGCAGCGAGACUCCGUGUCGUGGAACGGAUUGAUCCGAGCUCUUGCAUACGAUCACGUUGCUCGGCAGGCCGUGUUUGAUGCAAUGCCACAGCGAGACGUUGUUUCGUGGACCUCCAUGGUCCAGGCGAGCUUGGAUCAAGGCUUGUUUGAUCCUGCUAGAGAGCUCUUUGAUGCUAUGCCUUCCAAGAAUGUUGUGACUUGGACGAUGGUAGUCACUGCGUUUGCGGAGGAGCUUCUGGAUCGAGCGGAGUGGAUCUUCUACCGGAUGCCGCAGCACAACUUAGUGACUUGGAAUGUGAUGCUCGCGGGUUUCGCACAGAACGGGAAAGUUGACAAUGCCAAACUCAUGUUUGAGAGUCUUCCAGCGAGAGAUACUGUUUCGUGGAACACGAUGAUGAGCUCGUACAAUGCCACUGGUGGGUUUCUGGAGGAAUCGAGGGACUUGUUUUUCCGGAUUCCUCGCAGGGACGUCGUUUCCUGGAACUUGAUCCUUGUCGCUCUCGUCCUAAAUGAUGAUCUUCCUGGUUCAAGAACGGUGUUUGAUUUGAUGCCUCGAAGAGAUGUCGUGAGCUGGAAGAUCUUGAUCCAGGCUUAUGCUCAAGAGGGCGAUAUGGAUCGAGCGAGAAGCUUGUUGGAGAGCGGGAUUUAUGCUCUUGGUUCAUCCAGUGGACUGACUUGGUCUAUCUUGCUUCGAGGAUACAGCUCCAAUGGCUUGAGUAUUGAAGCAUUCGAGCUCUUGAAGAGGAUGGACUUGGAAGGUGUCAAGCUCGUUAGCAGUUCUUACACUGCUCUUCUUGACGCUUGCUCGGGCCCUGUGUUCUUGGAACUCGGCAAAAAAACUCACGCUAGAGUUUUGUUCUCGGGACUUGACAAAGAUCUCUGCGUGGUGAGCUCGCUCAUUGUGAUGUACGGGAAGUGUGGAAGCUUGCAUGACGCGAUGACGACGUACAGCCGGCUUGAUCGACCAGACGUGGUUUGCUCCAACUCGAUGAUCACAGCUUACAUCCACAGUAAUCGCAUGGCAGAAGCUCGGGGCAUCGUCGAGAGUAUGGUUGAUCCGAGCGUGGAGAGCUGGAACAUACUCCUCCACGGCUAUGGCCAGAACGGAAAUCUCGAAGAGGCAAAGCUUUUGUUUGACAAGCUUCCCGAGCGUGAUGCUAUGUCGUGGAGCUCGAUCUUGUGUGCGUACGUAGCAGCCGGUCUUGGAGCCGAGGCUUUGAUGAUCUUCCGAGAGAUGGACUUGGAAGGCUUCAGGCCUGGCACGAAAUCCUUGGUCGCUGUUCUAGAGGCCUGUGGCUCUCUCCUGGGUGAUCUUGCUCACUGCAAGAUCGUCCACUCGAGCAUAGCCGAGGCUGGAUUGGAUCGGCUCAAGGGCGUGGAGACCUCGAUCAUCAGCAUGUACUCGAGGUGUGGAAGCCUACGAGUUGCGAGAGAGAUCUUUGACAAGCGCCCUCAAGAGCUUCGAGCUCGCUGGAGCUCGAUGAUCGCCGGCUACGCUCAAAACGGCCAUGCGCGCGAAGCUCUCGAUCUAUUCAAGCAAAUGCUGCUCGACGGAGUGGAGCCAAACUCGAUCACGCUCGUCUCGAUCAUCUCCGCGUGUAGCCACACCGGAGCCCUGGGAGAUGGUCUCCGCUGCUUCGGAAGCUUGAGGCAAGACUUCAACAUCGUUGCCUCGGAUGAUAUCUACAAGUGCGUGGUGGACGUUCUGGGACGAGCCGGGAUGCUGAGCGAGGCCGAGGAGUUCAUCUCUGCGAUGAUGCCAUUCGAAGCCGAUAGCUGCACUUGGAUGAGCUUGCUGGGGAGCUGUAGAAGCCAUGGCGAUGUCAGGAGAGGCCAAAAGAUCGCGGCUAUGGAGUUUGAAGCUUGGUCGCCAACUUCUUCCACCUUUGUGCUUCUUUCCAACUUGUGCGUCGCUGGGAAAAGUUUAUAGUUUGCUGGAGUUUCCAAUUGGAAAGGUAGAACCACUGACAUCUAUUAUGACGGAAAUAACGCUCCAUGAAGAACGUUCUAAAAAUCUCCACCACUUGGUUUGGUGAAGACCACGGGAGAGAGAGCUAUUAUGUUGUCGAUUUAGCUGGAUACCAAAAGCAAUAGCAAGCCUCACCAUUUUAUUUGAAAAUGAGAAGAGAAAACUUGUUGAUCUCAGCUACAAGCUUUUUACUGACUAGCAAAGAGUCAUCAACAUAUAGACAUAGAAUCAUCUCCCACUUUCUCAUAAACUUUAUUCAAGCUUGUUUUAAUCCAUUCUUCCAGGCUCCUUGCCUAAAACUUGAUAGCCCUUAGACUCUAUCUAGAGUUUUUCCUCAAGAUCUACAGCUGUUUUAUAUAUUGCUCCACUUGGUUGAAUAAAUUCAUAUUUCACCUCGUCCUCAUUGUCAUAAACUUUGAAAAGAUUCCUCUCUUCUCCCACAAAAUUUCAUCCACUAGGGUUACGAGUCACCAAUGUAAGAAAGUUCAAAAGAUGUGUUAACCUAAUCCUAGCAAAGCCAAACCUAUAUUAAAAGGUGACGAUAUUUGUGUGAAGCUUCAAACAAUGACACGCGGUAAAUUCUCAUUCACUCUUUUAAUUUUAUCUUUGACCCCGUCCUUUUUCUUUUGAGAGGCAGGCUUUCGCGAGCUCAGUCACGGAUCCCUUGGCGACGAUUCAGCUGGGCCGAAAAGCUUCUCUAGUCCCGGGCAAGCACAGCGCGAUAGGUGUGCUCGAUCAAUCGCUCGCUCCAUCGCUCAAUCGCGCGCUCUCCGUGCGAUUGAUUGAUGGGUUCUUCUUGCGAUGGCGGAGGCGGAGGAGGAGGAGAAGUGAGCUGCUGUAGAUCGCCCAAAUCGCCCGGCUUGUUCCUCGUGACAGGGAUCAAAUCCAAGCAGAUGCUCGUCUCGCUGCUCGCGAUCGUUUGUGGCCUCCUGCUGCUGCUCAAGAACCCAUCCUUGCUCGAAUCCGAGCGCUGGCGACCGGGUAAGCGCGUAGCUUUUUACCAUGCUUCACAUUGCCAUCCCUGGAUCGAUCGAGAGCCUUUUUGCUCUCGAUCUUCCUUCCAGCGAUGGUCCAACUCACCGAUCUUGUGGGCUUGUUUGUUUUGCUGGAGCAGUCAUUUUCCAACAGGACCAUCACCUGGACCUCGGCAGUGGUACGUACGUUCAUGUUCUUCGUUGUCUUCUCUUUAAAACCCUUUUUCUUCUUGUCCUUCUUCCUCUCCCUCUUUGUAUUUUAAUGGCGCAGCUUUAAAGAAUGACCGAGCCGUUCCCAUCGCGGCUUCACACAGCUCACACUCCACGAACUUUGGAAUCUCCCCAUCUAUCGACGAUGACACCACCAACACAAGUAAGCUCUCAAAGUUAUAGAAACUAUAAGCGAUAACUUUGAUCUCGCAGAUGGCAGUGGUGAUCGCUGCGAUUUCUCGCGUGGGCGAUGGGUUUUCGACGAGACAAAGCCGCGCUACACUGGCCACCACUGCCGGGCAUGGCUUUCCAAGCCAUGGAUGUGUAGAUUGGAUCGACAUCACAACUUAAGUUACGAGAGCUACCGCUGGCAGCCGCGCGGAUGUGACUUGCCAGGCUUUGAUUCCACACAGCUCCUCCACAGGUCAGUACACAAUCAUUUCCUCCACUUCGCUCGCCCACGGGUACCGCGCGGUACCGCACGCUAGUGCGCAUCACAUUUUACCGUGCUGUACCGCGCGGUGUGCCGUGCUAACGGGGCCGUGUCUAGAUUGAGGAACAAGACGAUAGCGUUCGUGGGCGAUUCGCUGGGGCGGCAGCAGUACCAGUCGAUGAUUUGUAUGCUGGUGGGCGACGCUUCCAUGCCCAAGAUCACGGACGUUUCGAUCGAGUAUGGGCUGGUGGCCAAGGGCGAGGGCGCGCAACGAUUCGCCGCCACCAACACGACGGUCCUCUUCCACUGGUCGGCGUCGCUGGGCGAUCCGCAGCCCCUCGAGGCCGGGCUAUGGGCGCUCCACCUCGAUCGAGCGCCGGGGUUUCUCGCCAGGAACGCGCAGAGAUUGGAUGUGGUGAUCGUCAACACUGGUCACCACUGGAACCGGGGAAAGAUCCGCGCGAACAACUGGGUCCUCCAUGUCAAUGGCAAGGUCGCGAAUUUGCGAGUGGAUGCCGCGAGGAGGAUCGCGCUGACGAGCGCGGCGCGGUGGCUGGGCGUGCAGCGGGAGAGGAUCCGGGGAUUCGUGAGGAGCUUGUCGCCCAGGCACUUCCGGGGCGGGGACUGGAACUCUGGCGGGCGAUGUGAUGGGAUUCGAGAGAUCGAGGAGGAGGAAGAGCUUGGCGGGGAUUUGAUCGCCCAGGAGGCCGUGAGGAGCACGAAUGGAGCAGUGACGCUGCUGGAGAUUAGCAAUCUCUCCAGGACGAGGGGCGAGGCUCACAUCUCCUCGGCAUUCGUUGGAUCGUCCUCUUCUUCGUCUUCAUCCUCUCCCAGGCAGCAGGAUUGCUUGCACUGGUGCUUGCCCGGCGUCCCCGAUACUUGGAACGAGCUCUUGUUCGCCCAUCUCAUCGAUGAUCGUGCCUCUUGAUUCUUUUCACGCUGGGAUAUCGCAGUUUUCCUCGCAGAUGGAAUGAUCUGUGCCUCUUGAGCUCGCGGAUCCGUGGGGAAUCUCUUUUUCCGGAUGGGUGUAUGGAUCUUGCGGCUGCGUGGAAGAGGCCGAGGCCUUUUCUCGUGCCUUUAGAGCGAUCACGUUGCCCGCGUUUGAUGCGCUCACGGAUUGUUUUUGGAAUGCCCAGGAAAAAUCAAAUGCAACUAACAUUGCCCAGUGGAGACGAUAUUUCUUGGAAUUCUGUAGUUGCUGCAACCGGGUAUAUGGACCCGGCAAAAUCACUCUUUGAUUUCUUUGGGAGUUGAGGGCUUGACGAUCACACCAAGCUCCUCUCAUCUCAUCGUAUUUGCCGCAAUCGAAAGCACACACGAAGAAGAUUUGUCUUGUGAUUUACGUUCCUGAGAACAUUCUCUCAGGAAAGAGGGCAUAUGCCAAAAGCAUGAGAAAAUGCCUGGGCCCUUUGGUUCCAUCUGGGGCUCUGGAUUGAGAAUCAGUGAGAGAACGUGCAAUUCUGUAGCUCCGUACUUUUGUUCCAUCCCUUGGCUCAAAAUGCUUUUGUUUUUUGCGAAGUGGUGAAUCAGGAUCCAGCUGAAAUUUGGGACGCUCAGAUGUGUCGGGUGACGCACAAGUAAAACCAAACUGGCAUAUCAACCAUGCGAGCUUUUCGAUCAACCUGGACUGCAAAAUGGACUGCAGAAGCGCCCACAGCAACUCAACGCCGUUGAGCAAAACUGUUUGGACAAGAACACCAUCGUCAAUUGCCUUGAGCACUGUGUCCAUGUUGAGAACUGGAGUUAUGCCAUUAGGCCUUGUGCCCUCGUGUCAAAGAGUAUAUGUCGAGCACAAGCUCUCUCAGCACUUCUUCAUGCUCGUGUAUGCACAGAGAACCCUCUGCCUUAGAGAAAACUACGUCCCAGUCAGAACCAUACUUCGAGAGCAUCGACCUCCUGUUUUCUUUGCUUACGUCCCACUUAAGAGGUGCUUAGGACCUAUAAGCCUCGCCAACGGUGGUAGACCGCACAGACAGAAGAUCCACAGCCAAGAGUCCCUUGCAUUGGCGCCGCAGAUCAAAUCCGAUACAGUUGCUGCACCGAAAGCCACAGCCUGGAUGCAUCGUCCACUAACCAUAUCACCCGUUUCCCUGCGUGAAGCAAUACGUCUGCCACUCUAUUCCACCCGGAUGAUGGUGCCUUGAGCUCGCCAUCACUUCCCUUCACCAAUUCAUCCAGUAACAGAGCGAAAAACUCCCGUGCCGUUUCUAGCUCCAUCUUGUUUGCGUACUUGACGUGCAUAUUCUCAAGAUUACCAGGUAACCCCUCGUCAGCUCCUGACGAAGUGCUUUGAGCAAAGUCGUCUUUCCGGAUUGCCAAGCUCCUGUCAGCGUAAAUUGUUGACAAGAUCAUCCAGAUGAGGCCACGGAACGUAGUAAUGUGCCGAUAGAUACAAUGCACUUCCAGAAAAGAAAUCCUGUCUUUGCGUUCGCGAGCUUCUCCCCCAUACGAUUUAGCCAAACACUUGGGAACCUUUUUAUUUUACUAAUGUUUUUCUUUCACCGCCUUCGAUAUCGCAGCUAUUGGUUCCGGGAAGCGCGCAGCUUUGCUAUGAUCUAGUGGCUGCUUGGGAGGAGCAUUGCCUUGACCACGGACGAGCUGGUUUCUUUUGAUAUUAAAAGAGGUUUUCUCGUGGAACACUUUACUUGCAACGGUGGGCAAGUUUAUCACUGGCAACGAUGGUAAAAUCUUGCCUCAAGCUCCCAAAGUAGUGCAGCCCAUCGGCUAGGAGACAUGAACGAGCCAAGCGUGAUCAAGUUACCUUUGCGAUGCAAUUCUGGCCGAUAGUGUCAGGCAAACUCGAAAACAUAAUAGCAGCUGAUGGGUCGCUUGUAUUCAUGCUGCAUAAGCUCCUCAAACCACUGGUGUGCUUCCACAAAAUGAAGCAGCCCAAUGUAAUUUGCUUCAACUGUAAAAGCCAAAACUCACAUUAUUCAUUUAGAUUAAUCUCAUAUUUAUACUUAAUAAAUAUGUUAUAAUUUCUAAACUUUUUAAGCACCUCUUAAUAUAUUCUAGUUUAUUCUAGAUUGGAUUUGUGGCCAUAAAUAAUCAUAAUCAUAUAAACUAAGUUUCCAUACUGUUAUUUCUUUGAUCUAAUGUAUCAAAAUAGUUUUUAUGGAAAUUAAAUCAAUUAAAAAAAUAAAUUUAGGUUUGAAAAAAAUAAAAAUUUGUAUAUAUUAUGCAUGCUAGUGUAAUCUUGUAAAAGUGAGAAUUAAAAAACAUCUAUAAAAUCAUCACAUCAUUUAAUAGAUGAUCUUUAAUGCAAAAGCAAAUAUUCUCAUUAAGCUUCACCAUAAACAAGGCCCAAGGACUUUGAGAUUUAUAGAUAACACAUUUUUCUAACAUUUUAUAGACAUUUGGUCAUAAAAUCUUAAUCUCAUUAGAUGAUGUGCUGCAAUUUUAACCCUAGAUAACAAAUCAAGAUUGAGGAGAUUAGUAUACUUUUACUUAAAUUAGUCAAUUUUCACAUUAGAAAGACUAUCUAAAGGAUUUGGAGAGGGAAUAGAACAUGAAGGAAACACAAUUAAAAAGAUAAAAGCAAUGGAAGUAAAGGUAAAAACAAAAAGAUGAAACCUCAAAAUUAUAUUUAGCAUUUUUGUGCUAUAAUGAAUCCAUACCAAAGAUAAAGUUAAAAAUUUGACUUGGCACUAUUCACGAGGAGUGGAUCUCAUGCUCGAGAUCAUCUACAUACAUAACUAAGUUUGCUCAUUCUAUGUAUAGCUGUUGCUAUAAUAUAGAUUAACUUUACCACAAAAAUUAAGAUUGAAAAAUAACCACUAAAUGAACUUCUUGUGAAUAUGACUAUUAGUAUCAAAAGUUAUUUGUUGGCAAAAAAAUUUCAGAUAUUCAUUUUUUACUACUGUAAUAGUAGGAGGCUGGUAUUUCUCAACCCUUUAUUAAUCUUUAAUUAAACUAGUUGAGAAAUUGGUCAUCCUCUAUACAUUUGGACCAAAUAAACAUAAUAUAAGAACUCUUAUAUGUUUUUUAUUGUACUCGGAUUGGGAUGAGAAACUCAUAUAUUGGUUUGUAUUUACUACUGUUGGAAACCUUUAUAAUAAUAAGCCUAGUUCCUCUAUAGCUUACUAUGUUUAUUAGACAUUCUCACUAUGUGUUAAUCUUGUUUUGGUCUUAAUAGCUAUUUAUGAAAUUUACAAGUUAAAACUUAUAGAAUAUAGAGAAUAUCCUAAAUAUAAUGGUGGUAUUUCCUCAUAAUCUAACACCAUUCUAUAUAGCAUGUUUAUCUUUGUUUCAUAUUUGGCUUAAGUUUAAGCUUAAACUCUAUACCAUGCUAGCUGAUGAAGUACUCAAAUCCUUGCAUUAAGCCACUAGUAUGUUAAAAUAAUGCUAAACACUAUUUAGCUCUGUUUAAAGCUACCUUUUAUCUCCACCUAAAAUACAGAAAUGUGUAUAUUUAAUUAGCCUAAGAACACUGGUUUAUAUAUAGAAACAAGUGGCCCAAAUUAAAAUCAAUCUAAUGGAUAUCAAAAUCUUACUGUGCUAAUAUUAGUAUACUGCAUUGUGCAAUUCUACAUAUCAUCCUCCUUAACCCAGCAUUUAUUCUACUUUUAGUAAGAAUGGAUUGAAGGGAAGAUUAAAAGAUUUAGCAUCUACUUUUACACUUAUAAUAUGACCUUUCUCAAAUGUGGCAAAGAAUCAAGGUGAUCCAUGGGAACCCCACACUAUUUCUAGCCAUCAAUGCCUUGUCUUAGAAUGUAUUAAGCAAGAUAAUAAUUGGCAAAGAUGUUCCACAUGAGUUAUGAUAGCAUUACACUUGAGGCACAUUAUUGAUUUGGGAUCUAACAUAGAUGAUCUUGGGUUACUUGAUAAAAAAAUAUUCUAAAUAGAAACACCAAUGCUAAAAUGUUAUUACUAUCACUUAGUGACUUAUGUUGUAUUAUUAAUUAAAAUUUAAAUAAUAAUAUUUAACAUAUUAAUAUUAUUUAUUUCUAAGAUUUAAAAAAACUAAAUAUUAUUUUAAGUGUAACAAUUUUUAAAAAAUUAUAUCUGUAAAUAAUUAACUCAAUUACACUUAUAAAAGACUCAUCUUCAAUGUUACUGAAUUAACUUGAAUGAAUAUAUAAAAUCUCAAAAUCUUUUGAAUAGAAUAAACACUUAUUUUCUGGACUUCAAUGCAUUGUCAUAAAUGCCAUACCUUAUAACUUCUAGAACUUCUGAAGACUUCAUGAACCUUAUAAAAGGGUCAUAUUGCUUAUAUAUGAGUAGAGGUAUGGACAUUAUGGAUGGAAUAGACAUAUUAAAUCUAGACAAAGACAUGAAGACUAUUAUUCCUUCUAACUUCAUAAAGUUUACGAUUUGAAGGAUUUAAUGAAGGGGCAGAUUAUUUUAGGAGCAAAAUAAGCUUUCCUCAUUAUUAGUAUUUUGCCAUCUUACUUUUGCUCUACUUUAGCAAUUUCCUUUUCUAUAUCACUAGUGGCAUAAUCAUCUCUUGAGCUCAAGUCUACUAUCCUAUUAUAUGCAUCCCUACAAGUUAUAUAAAUUAGAGAUUUCUCAUGUAUCCCAAAAGCAAACUCUUGUAUCAGUAGUUGUAAGGACAUAUUUUCCUUAAUAGCCAUAUACAAUCUACAUUUGAUGAUCUCAUAUAACCAUCCUUUCAUAAAUAUCUUUUCAAUCCCUCUAACAUUUUUUAUUGUUAUGACAAAAACAUAAAAAAAACAUUGAUGACACAAUGAUAGAGGGAUUGGCCCAUGAAUAUCCUAAAUAGGUAUAUAUUAAAAUUUUGAUAUAACAUUCUUAUUUAUUUGUAAAUAUUUGAAUGUCAAGUGGCAUUAAUUUCUCAAUUUAUCAUUUUGUAUAGCUUUCUUAUUUGGCUAUAACAUUCAAUCCAAUUCCUUCUUACAAGUUGUAACACUAAUAAUGGCUAUACAUUUAAUCUUUCUCUAUAAUGCAAUAGAGUAGUUAUAAUCCAAAUAUUUAUAAUGUUUGUAGUGGUGAUAUUAGCAUACUAUAAACAACCAAAAGAACAACUUGAAAGAGCAUCCAUUAGAGAUUAAAUAUAAAAGGAAAGAGCCCAUAAGUAAAAGUGCAACCUUUUUUUCUAUUAGUUAAAGGUCUUGGGAUAUUUAGAGUUAAUUGUAAUUGGAUUUAAGUAGUUAUGGGCUUUCUGAAAUUUAGGAGUUUACAUUUGGUAUCAAAUAAUACUUAGAUUUUUUUUAAUAAUCCAUCACCCCUUCUUGAUUGCUAUAAAUUGCUAUGAAUACCUUUUGAAUUUGUUUGUAGAAUGGAGUCUGGGGCUAGCAUAAUUAUAAAUUUUAGGAAAAUACUAGUGGAUAUAUAUAUUAAAUUUCAUAGUAUAGAAUACUAUUACGAUAUUUUAUUCAAUAUUAUAAUAGCAAGCUCAUAUUUAGUUACAUAGCUGCUUAUAUAGAUGAAACUGUCACAAUAGGGUAUUUUGCAUAAAUGAUUUAAAAUUUAUUUGGGUUUUUCUUUCCAAAAUUAUAAUUUAAUUUAGUCUUUAAUCUCUCAACUCAACAUUUUCUAUCUUUUUGUGGUUUUGACCAAAAUUAAUUUCUUCAAAAAGCUUCUCUCUAUCUAUCAUCAAAAUUGAUUUCUUGAUUGAUAGAAUUAAAAUAAACCAAAAUAAAAAAGAAUUUGUCUUAAAAUAUCUUUUAAAAAAAUUAAUAGUACAACAAUAAUUUAUCUUUUACAUUUUUAUUGUUUGUUUCUGACAUAUGUAUAUAUCUAUAUAAAAUGUAUCAAUAAGUUUUGUAUAAUUUUAUGGUUUUUGAUUUAUUAUUAAUCUAGAACCAAUAAGUCUAUUAUAAAGAUAAUUUUAUGUUAAAGUGGUUUAUAGAUAUGAUAAAAAAGAAGAAAGUAAAAUUACAAUAAAUCUGUCUCAUAAUAUUUAAGAUAUUUAUUUUUGAUUAUUUAUAAAAAGAUUUGAUAAUGGUGACAUGUAUUUUCAGAAUAAAAUCUAAUAAAAAAUUUAUAUAUGAAUAAAAAUGAGUUAAAUUUAAGAUAUAAACUUUGAAAACUUUUAUUAUUUUAAAGACUUUAAUGUAAUUUUGUAGCAUACAUCUACACAUGUAUGAUAGUUUUUAAAUUAGAAGCUAUUUAAUGUUUUCAUAGUACUUAAAAUUAAUAUAUAUAAUUUGACCACUCCAUAAAAUCAUAGUUGGAUUUUAAACCUUUAUAAAUUAAAAACUUUAGUUUACUUUAAAUUUAAAAUAUUUGUUGUUGUGAGUGCUUGGAAAAUGGAAAGGGAAUAUAGAAAAUGUGCAUAUCAAUUAGCCCAAAAACCGUAGCUAAUAUACAGGAGUGAGUGGUCCAGAUUGAAACCAAUUUGAUGGCUACCAAAAUCCCACUACGCUAAUAUUAGUAUACAGCAUCGUAGCCAUACACUUGGCCCUCACAUCAUCCCCUCCUCUUGGAAUAAUGGAAGACCAUCAGGGUUCUCUUGUAGAUGGGCUAGGAUCUGGUGGAACGUCAGGAGGAGGCAUCGACGGAUCUGUAGGUGGUAUUAAGUGCUCUUGAUCCCUUUGUAUGAAGCAUUUUAACCGUUGCACAUGCACAAUCUCUGGAGGAUCGGCCUACUGGACGUCAUGCCAAACCUCAUAAACUUGUGGUCCAACUUGCUGCAACACUUAAUACGAUCCUUUCCACUGCGCAAGGAGCCCCUUAGAUAAACGACGUACAGUAAGAUGGGGAAAACAAACUAACACCAAAUCAUCCACUUUGUACUCCGCAGGUGGACGAUGAUGGGAGUUAUACUGCCGUUGUUGUCCCACUUAUACACGGCCUAAGUGUUCGGCAGACUUCGCUCGGACAAGUGGAAGGAUGGUCAUCAAAUGCUGAUCCCACGACCUAGCAUCAGUAGCUCGUGGCAAUCGCGAAGGUAAACCUAGCUCCGUUGGUAAUAUUGGAUCAUGACCAUAUAGGAGUUUAUAUGGUGAAGCAUCAACAGAACUCUACACCCUUGUGACAUAUGCAUACCGAAGAGAUGGCAAAUAACCAUCCCAAUCCGAAUGCUGAAAGUUCACAUACUUCGCAAUCAUCCCCUUGAAUGUCCGAACGAGCGGUUCCACCAGACCGUCUAAUUGUGGAUGAUAAGCACUCAUGAAAGUGUGGCGUAUCCCCAACCGAGACGUCAAAACAUGAAAUGCCUCAGCCAUAAAUGCAGGACCAUUAUCUGAAAGAAUCUGCUCUGGACAAGAAUGCUGGAACACCACUCAAUUGAGGAGGAAGUAUUUAACAGUAGUUGCAGAAGCACUAGCAAGAGCACCAACUUCCACCCAACGAGUCAAGUAGUCAGAAGCAACAAUAACAUCAUUGCUAGUAGUCGACCGUGGAAAAGGUCCCAUAAGAUCAAAUGCCACCAACUCAAAUGAACGGGAAACUAAAAUUGACUCUAACCAUCCUUCCACAGCCUGAGGGAGAGUAUUACGAGCUUGGCACCAAACACAGCUAUGCACAUACCAGAUAAUAUCACGUCACAUCUCCGGCCAAUAGAAAGACCUAUGUAGCUUCUUGGUUACAUGACGAUGUCCCAUAUGCCCAUCUAGAAUAGGAGAAUCAUGGUAGGUAUGGAGAAAACGCGGAAUAAAGAUAAAAGGCACCACUAGUCGUAAAUGAUCAUUAGGAUCCAUCCCCACAAAAUAAAGAAGGCCGUCUUCAAGGCGAUAUUGAGAAUGUAAAUGCUGGAAAGGCAAGUCAUCAGCAAGUGAUACAAAAUUCUCAAACCCAUCUCGAAGCCUUUGAAUCCACAACUCAAUCUUUUGAGCCUCGCGAACCUCAUCAAGAGAAGGUAGAUCUUGCUCUGCACCUUGUAGACACUGAACAUCAAAUACAACAACUGCCGGCGGUACAGAAUCCUCGUCUAGAAAAUCCACAGAGGCUGAAAUAACAGGCUCAUCAGAAACAUGAGAAGAGAAUGAAGAAGGAAGAGGAGCUCGAGAAAGGGCAUCAACAUCAGCCAAAGAACUCCCUAGGUAAUGAACAACAUCAAAAUCAUAUAUUUGAAGCUUUAAAGCCCAUCAAGCAGUACGAUCAACCAAGUUUUUCCGCUUCAAUAAUGAAGUAACAACAGCAUGAUCACCUUCAAGUAAUGUCUGAGAACCGUGUAGAUAUGCAUGAAAUUUCUCAAAACCCCAAACUGCUACUAAACACUCCUUCUCUGUUAUGGAGUAGUUCAUUUCGGCUGGUUGUAAUGUACGGCUUAUAUAUGGCACACUCAAGCUCUCUUGCAUCAACACACCUCCAAGACCAAUGUCAGAAGCAUCCACGCACAAAAUAAAAGGUCGAGUGUAGUCAGGAUAUGCCAAAACUGGAGGAGUCAUCAAUAGCUCUUUGAGAUCCACAAAUGCCCACUCACAAUCUGGAGACCAGAUGAAAGAUGAUGUUGAUGACUUCAGCAAUGCUCGCAACGGUGCAGUGCGAUCAGAAAGAUGAUCCACAAAACAACCGAGAUACUGCACCUUGCCCAAUAAGCGCUGCACAUCAUUCACACACUUCGGAGUAGGGAACUUUAGAACAGCCAUAAGCGCUGCACAUCAUUCACACACUUUGGAGUAGGGAACUUUAGAACAGCCAUAAAUUUGUCAGGAUCAACUUGCAAACCCUCACGAAAAAUACGAUACCCAAGAUAAAUUGUGUCCUUGGACCCAAAUAUGCACUUCGACCGCUUCAGCUUUAGAAUACUCCUUCAUGAGCCAGUCAACCAUUGCAACACAAAGAUUUUGGAGGGAUCUAAAAAGGGAAGAGCAAAACAAGAUGGAAACAUAGGAGGAAAUAGUGGAGAAAAAAAAGUAAUAGAAGCAAAGGUAGAAGUAGAGGGACGAAGAGGGAUGGAAAUAAGAAGAAUGGAUGAAACAUAAAGAAGGGGGAAAAGCUUUAAAGUCACACUUGGCAUGAUUGUGCUACAACUAAUCCAUACCAAGGAUGAGGUCAAAAGCUUGACUUGGCACUACCCGCAAUAACUGCAACUAAAGUUCGAGAUCACCCAUACGCACAACUAGGUCCGCCUCAUCCCGUACACAUGCAUGUGUACGGCUGUUGCCAUAAAGAAUGAAAACUAGUUCCGCCUCACGAUACAAGUGUAGACGGCAACGUGUAGCAACAGGUUGAGCAAUAGAAGAUAAACUCAAACUUAUAUCAACCAACACAGAUAGAAUAAUAGGAGACCUUUUGUUAUAAAAACGAGUUUGCAAAGUAAACACUGGAUGAACUGGUGUCGAGUGAACCCCUUGAUGAUACUCCCGAAAGAAAGAUGGAAGGUUCACUGACUUAUUCGAGCAAGGUCCCUCCGUUACUCGCGCGACUCUUUGUUUCCCGGAUGCAUCUUGGUGUCCAAACCUUCCACUGCAACAUCACCAACAGGACGUUGCUAAUGCCAAGGUCUCCACCCAGGAAAUGGAGGUUGCCAAUCCGGAAAACGCUGACAAUGCCGAUAAGUAUGACUAACUUCGUCACACGCCCAACAACGAACAUCACGGCCAUGACCACGUUCUUGCCCUUGUCCUUGGACUCGAGCAGCAGUAGCAUCAACCUCCAUUGGAACAAGACCAUCACCUAUAGGAAGAGGAGUUGAAGGACGUGUAGUGAGAAGUUGAAGAGGCGAUGUCUCAUAACAUUGUGCCAAGCAAAGAGCAUUGUCAAGGGUGGCAGGAGCAAGUGCAUGCACAAGUCCGACAAGAUCUUGACAAAGUGCUGGCCACAACAUUCCUAGCUUGAUCUGCUCCAACAUAUUUGGCUCCACACGAAGUAAAAGACUUCGGAAACGAACACCAAAUUGCAUCACCGACUUAGAUGGCCCUUAGCGAAGAUGAUGCAAUUGUUGAAAAGCAUCAUCACAGUUAUUGGCAUGUCAGAAGGCGCGUUUGAAGACAUUCGGAAGAACACUCCAAUCCCCGCAAGUGGCUGUGCCCAAACCGUUAUACCAUUGCAAUGCUGUCCGUUGGAGACACGUGGGAAACUCAUGCAAACGUCGAGCAUCAUCCCAAAAAUGAUAUGCAGUAAUCACCAUGAAGUGAUCGAACCAAUAGUACACAUCAUCCCUAGGAUUCCCACGAAAGAACUCCAGCCAAACGCGAAGAUUGGCACCAAAAGCAAGAGGAGUUGUACCAUAUGCCGUGAACGCUGCCAUCAACUGAGUUUGGUUGUUUAAUUGCAAGCACAUAGCAUUAAGCAAUUGUACCAACUACUGGCCCAGAGUCAAAGGAGGAGAUUGCUUAUCUGCCAUGGAGACAAAUGAAAAAGAAAGAGCAAAAGAAGAGAAAUGACAAAAAGCUAGAAGGAAAUGGUAGAUCUAGACAAUGCAAAAAUCUAAAUCUAAACUAAAAUCUUGAAAGGAAAGAACUAAAGAAAAGAAAUGGAAAAUGCUAGAUCUAGACAAUGCAAAAGCUAGAUCUAAACCAAAAUCCUAAAUCCAAGCACUUAUCAGGGACAAUCAAAGGUGCCCCUCACCUCCACCAAUGUGAGUGCUUGGAAAAUAGAAAGGAAAUAUAGAAAAUAUAUAUAUCAAUUAACCCAAAAACCCUAGCUUAUAUACAGGAUUGAGUGGUCUAGAUUGAAACCAAUCCAACAGCUACCAAAAUCCCAUUACGCUAAUAUUAGUAUAUGGUAUCUUAGCUAUACACUUAGCCCUCAUAUUGCAUAGAAUAUUAUAUUUUUCUUUAAAAUUUUUUAUUUAACCAGUAUUGAUUUAUAUAAGAAGCUAAAUAUUAAAUUAUUUAUGUAGAUUUUUUUUUGGAUAAUUUUUUUUUUCCAAAAUACUGAAAUCUAAGCUUUGAAAAUUACUGAUAUUUUCUAGAAAAAUAUUUUUACUCCAAUUUUUAUGUCUAUACUUUUUAUUAUUAAAAUUUAGUUGCUUUCAUAAAAUCCAUUUAAGAAUUUCAUUUAAGUCUAAACUCAUAUGACUUGCAUACUUUGCAUACAUCGAUAAAAUUAUUAUUAUGUUUUAAUAAAGAUUUUUUAUUUUUCUGCAUAAUAUCUUUUAUUUUGUUCUAAUCGCCAUUAUAUUGUUAAAUAACUAUAUAGUUUAAUUUAAUUUUCAUAUAAUAAAAUUAUUCUUUAAAGUACUCUUCAAUGCUUUAAUAUAUGUAAAAGUUAUUUUUGAUUUGGCAUUGUCCUUUAUGUUUUUAAUCAAAAUUAAAACUAAUAAAAUUAAAAGUUUUAUAGUAACUAAUAAAAAUUAAAUUAUUAUAAAAUUAAGAUAAUGGUCAUAUUUUCUGUUUCUACAAUAUAUAGUUGGUGUUUUUCAGCAGAUCCAAAAUGUCGUCUCGUAGUUUAUGAAGGUUGAACCUCAUGGUAUAAAAUAUUUUAUAUAGCAUCAUGGAAAUAGUUUAAAUAAUUUAAAAAUAUUUUUAUACCUUCUUUGAAGGGAAUAAUUUAUUAUUUCAAUUAUAAAUUCUAAAUAUUGUUAUGCAUAUAUCAUGUUUCAUAAUAAUUUCUUUUACCACUGUUACAUAUUGAAAAACUAUUAAAGAUUAAUUACAACUCAUUUUAAGCAAUCCUAUUAAAAUAUAACUAAAGUAAAAUUUUACUAAAAUAUUAAUAAUUGAAUUUUUUUCUUUUUAUGUUUUAUUGUUUACUUGGGCAAACCUAUUUGUAAUGAAUAUACCUAGAAUAUUCUUGGAUAUUCUAGGAUAUUUUUGUGGUUAUUCAUUUAGAUUAAUUUCAUAUUUAUAAUUUAUAAAUAUGUUUAUAAUUUAUAAACUUUUCUAACCACUUUGUAUCAUCAUGAGUGGUUUUUGGAGCAUGAGCCAAAGAAACCAUGUAAUAUAUAAUGCAUUGGUUGGGUUCUAUGUCUAGAAUGGCAAUUGCAAGGGAGCUCUCAAAGUUCCACUACCAAGGCCCUCAAUCCAGCCACCAUCAUGAAGCAAAGAAUCUGGAGCUCUAAGGCUGGAUGGACGAGGCAACCAAUGAUUCACAUGGAAGGAAGAAUGAAAAAGAGGAGGAGCACUCAUAGGGGCUUCCCAACCUCAAUUGCAACAAGCAUGAAGUAUUGAAACCAGCUCGGGGAUUUGAGUAGGGUCCCCUUGAGAUCAAUCACAAUGCUAUCAUCAUUCCUAGCCAUUGCAUUCUCCAUUGGCUCCAAUAGAUUGCUCUUGUCCCUGGGAAGCAUCAAGAAAAACAUAUUUGGAUUAGUGAAUUGAUUGAGGAUUGCCUCUCCUUGGAGGUUUGAGCUGAGAGCCAUGAUCCAGGAUCAGAAACCCACAACGGCAAUAUUGAUUAAUUGCCCAAAAUCAAUCAAUCAACCUAGAACGCAUCCAUGGAUGGAGCUUAGAUCUUCCUCUAUAUUGCUCCCUAUUAUGUGAGUGGGUAGUGGGUAGAAAACAAAGAUCAGUGGAGGAGGGAAAGUCUUUUCAAAGAGGAGUCAUUGGGAGGAAAUUGAGGCUCAAUUGAUGGACGGUGACCAAACCUUGAGCUUUGGAAGAAACCAUGACAUAAAUGUUGGGCUUUGACUUGGACACACAAGUCUAUGCAAAUGACAAUCUUUCUAUUCCUAUUCCUUCCUCUUUUUUAAAGUGACAGACAAAGGGAGAUUGUAGCAGUUGAGGAGUGGAGUCAGGCUGCUUCUAGUUUCAGCUUGGACAAUGAUGAGAAGUAUUUAGCGAGGAUGUUUACAAUGAGGAGAGUUAGUGCACAAAAAGGUUGAAAAGGUUGAAAAUAUUUGUCACCUGCAGAAUUGGUUUAUUGUCUACCCUAAGUUUAGCAAGUUGAUGGACAACAGAAGCACCAUGGCAAAUUGAUUUAAUAGAUUUACAAGAAGAAAAAAUAGCUAACAAAACAAUUAUACAAGUUCUAAAUACAAGAUCUAUUACUGCACAUCAAGAAGAUAUAAAGAGUGAUUCACAAUUAUUAACAUCAGAUAUAAUAUGUAUGCAAGAAGUAAGAACACAAAAACAUGAGGAUUUAUAUUUUAAAAAAUAAAAAUCAUAUAUACAUGAACAACCCCCACAUAUAGCAAUAUUGCAUACAAAUGACUAUAAAUCAGAAAUAGUAGAACAUUUAAAAACAAAAACAAUGGCAAUGUCAUAUGUAUCACUAGAAAGUUUUUUUAAAAAAAAUUAUAGAUAAUAAAUUUACAUAGAAAACCUGGAAAAAAUAUACAAAUAUUCAUUAAAAAAACUACAAAAAUAUAUACAGAAAAUAGAUAUAAAAAACCAGUAAUAAUUACAGUAGAUUUUAAUAUUGACUACUAAAAAGAAGAAGCAAAACCACUUCAAACAACAAUGGAGAAAGAAGGAUACAUACAAAUAAUAUAACAUAAUACACAUAAUAAUAAAUUAAUAAAGAAUAUAUGGAUAAAAGAUAUAAUAUGUACAAAAGCAGGAAUAGCACCUGCAUAUUAGACAUAUCAUAACAAAUUAUAUAUCCUAAUAAAAGAUAUUUAAAAACAAAAGCAAACCAAGAAUUGCUACAAUGCAACACACAGCAGUUUUAUUUGUUAAUAUACCUCUUAUAAAGUUUUGAAUACUAAUUAAAUGAGAACAAAAUGGGGGAAUUGUAUUCAUAUAAAAAAUUAUUGAUAAUUAGUUUUUUUUAAGAAAUUAAUUUUUUAAGUAGGCAAAGAAAUGGUGGAGAAGUUUAUAUCUAUUUUAUUUAUGUUAUGGAUAUAAAUCCUUUAAGGUUUUUGAACCUUCAUUAUCCAAAUGAUAAAAAAAACCUAAUCUUUAUAACUAAAUGUGACACAUUUUAAAACUUUAUAAUAAUUUUGCAUUUAUAAUUUAAAAAUUAAAUCAGAUAAAUUUUGCUACAUUUAUUCAUUUGAGUCUUAAUUGUAUUUAAAUGAUGAUGAAUGUGAAAUCUCUCUAAGGGAGAUAAUUUUUUUUUCAAAAUGUUUAACAAUUUACAUAAAUGCCAUCUUUUUCUUUUAUGAGAAAAUGUAUGAUAUAGUGGUAAAAUGUUAUUAAAUUUGUGUUCAUUUAUGUUUUUGUUUUAGAAUAUUUUAUAUAAACAUAUUUUUAGUAUUAUUUCAAAUAUUGUUUUAAUGCAUUUCUCCCAUGACAGUUAAAACGUUAGAAGCCAAAAAGCUAGUUGAGGGAGGCAUAUCAACUAUGUGAGUUCUUGUUAAGCUUUCUAUCAAUCUAGACUGCAAUAUGGACUGUAGCAGUGGGCACAACUGAACACCACCUAGAUAAACUAUUUGCACAAGAAUGCCAUCACCAAUUGCCUUAAGCACUGUGUCCAUCUUAAGAAGUGAAUUUGAGCCAUUCAGGCUGUUGAUGCAGUCAAUGAUGAUCCCCUUGAGCUCGGGCGAGUACCCAACAACGUUCCAAAUCAUUUGGUCAUAUUCUUUUGACACCAAGAUCCACUUCUUUACUUGUCCAGCUCCUGCCACUGUUGAAACGACCUUACACUCCUCCGUUGUAAAACUUCACAACAGCAUCCCGAGUCCCUUGUGCCCUCAUGUCAAGGAAUAUAUGUCAAGCGCAAGCAAUCUCAGCUAUUCUUCAUGCUCGCAUUUGUCUGGAAUACCCUCUGCCUUUGAGAAAACUACAUGCCAGUUAGAGGCAUACAUCGAAGACCAUUGACAGAAUCCCCUCCACUGUCAGGUUCCAGGUUUCUUUGCUUACAUCCCUUGUGAGAGGUGAUGGAGGAAGCUUACACCAAACGCUGACCUGGACAUCAGUCACCAUGUCAAACUAAACCCUAAACCUUUCUUCUUUCUCCUUUUAAAAAAUAUUUAUCGGACAACUUUUAUUGAAUUUUAAAACUUGGGCGGGACUAUGGAAUUUAGGGCAAAUGGCAGACGAGGAGGACGGCGACCCAGCACCACCAGAAGCCGCGGCGCCACCGUCGGCGCCACCGCCCCGCCAGGGCAUCACUGUUGCCUCUUCUUCGGGCCUCGCGCGCCGCCCGUCCCAGCGCGGCAUCCUCAUGGCAAUGCAGCAGCGCAGCCGGAACGCGGCGCUCACGGGAUUGCUCCAGGCUAGGGUAAUGUGGUCGGUCAUCAAUCUCCCCAGUGGCGUGAUCCGCCGGAGCUCCAGCCUCGUCCACAAUGCCGUGGGAUUGGCGGAAGGCGCACUGGGCGCGCUGGGCGAUCUCGCCAAGAACACCGGCGCCACUGGCGGAUUCGUGGUCCAGCAGGCGAUCCAGGGCGGCCGCCUCCUCCUCGACGCCGGCGGCAUCGGCCGCGGCCAGUCGCGAGCGCCGCCAGUGCGCAGGACCUUCGCCGGCUCCAUGGAAGCCAUGACGUUCGUGCGCAACUUCGACAUGGAAUUCGGCCAUGGCCGACCGGAUUUCGAGAAGUCGAGCUUCGUGGAGGCGGUGUCCCGGGCCGUCCAGGAUUACAAGCUCAUGUUUGCGUACCUCCACUCAUCCGAGAACGCGGGAUCUCUCGAGUUUUGCCGGAGAACUCUGUGCUCGCAGGAGGUGGUGGAGUUUGUCAACGCCAACUUUGUGUCGUGGGGAGCGGACGUCCGGAGCAGCGAAGGCUUCCAGAUGAGCAUAAGCUUGCGAGCUCCUGGUUUUCCUUUUUGCGCUGUCGUUGGAGCGUCCUCGCCACAGCAUUUGUUGGUGUUGCAACAGGCAGGUACUUGGCUCGCUUUUUCCACGCUUUCUUUUUUUUUUUCGUCCUGAUUCUUUGUGAUAUUUUUCCCUGGCCAACUUUUGCUUUGUGUUCUUUGUUGGUCUUCUUCCCUUUGUCUGACGCCUAGCUUUUUCUCCUCUGUUUUAUUGUUCUUCCCCCUUGGCUUGGCUGGCUGGUUUUUCAUGUUAUUGUUCUCAUGUGUUUCCUUUUUCAAAGGUGAAUGGUCAAAUGUCUGGGCUGGAGCUGAUUUCCACGCUGCGACGAGUUCUAAAACAGCACGGUGGAGCCCUCUCGGUUGCACGAUCUGAACAAGCCGAGAUUGCAAAGUACCGGCGUUUACGUGAUGCAGCAGCGAAUCAGGCCUUGUUGGUCCAAGUAAGAUAUACAAUUCCUUCUUUCUGUCCUUGUCUCGUUCUUUUCUUCCUUUUUCAUGGAGAGAUAGAAACAAAAGAGAAAAAAGAUGAUAUCUUCGCUAUCUUAGUAUUAUAUGUCUCGGCACUUCUCACCUCGUUGCCCCUGCUCGUGGUUGGAACAGGCGCGGUCACCGCAGCAGGGGGUCCACGACAAGAAAGCCAGUGAUUCCGAGGAGAGCAACAACAAGAAGAAGAGCGUGGCUCCUGCUCCGAGGCGGCGGAAAUGGUUCUUUCUCAAGAGCUGAGGCAAGCUUCGAUCAAGGUGAGAGUUUGUUCGCAGGGUUAGAAACUAAGUUUGUUUUCUCUCUCGGUGUUUCUACCGCUGCAGCGAUCAUGCGGCGGGGAAAAGAAUGUCCGGCUCCAAUUGGGGCGCGAUUAAAGAAAGGCCGGUCAAACAAGCAAGCACAGCUAAGCUCGAUUGAUUCGAGCGGGCGAGCGAGCAAGGGAACAAAAAAAAAGGAAAAGGUUGUAAGUUGCUCGCUAAAAGCUGAGUCGAGUUGGUUGCUCGAGAACUUAACUCGCACUGAAUUUGGAUCUCGUCGCAACUGCCAAUGAAGAACACAUGCGCUGAAUUGAUUGGACGAUUCUUCUCUCGUCUCGCAACUUUCUCCGCAUUAUAGAGAGAUGUACGCUUUGGAGCUAAUGCUGGUACGGCCGUCGCCUAGUUGCCCCAGCCACGGCCGUAUGGUUCUAUCUCCACGCACAGUCCAUUGAACGAUUCAACCAUCUUUUUUUCUCGCUUUGGUUUUGCUUGCUUUGGACAAAGAGAAAAAGGAGAUACACAUUGAUAUCUCGGCUCAUCAUCGCAUCGCAGCCUCCCCCGUGCCCACUUUGACUCUGAACUCCGCCACCUUACUUGAUGCCGGGGUGAUCAGCGACAUGCAUGACGUAGCAAGCAAGCCCCUGCCACCUUUUACAAUAUUAAAUACAAUUUCCUGGCUCAUUGUCAACACAAACACCAUCAUCAUCUUGCAUAGCAAUUGCAAUCCCUCGUCAGGCUUGAAUGGGGAGGGAGUAGAAGAAGAAUGAGAAGCUUUUGCUUGUGGGCAAGAAAGAGCAUCACUUUCUCUGGGAAUUUGACUUUGAUUUGUUGCAAGAGAGAGGGAUUUCAAGGAAAGGCCUGCUACUUUCUGCUACUGUUGUUGCUGCUGCUGCUGCUGCUGGCUGGAAGAAGAAAGAGAAAAAAGAGAAAGCAAGAAAAUAAAAGGUGGUGUGCAAUUAAGUAAAUGGGGGCUUCCAAAAGCAGGUCUCUUUCCAGCUCAUGCACUGUUGUGUUUAAUCCAGACCACCAUUAAUCCAGAGGGUUUGGUUGGCGUGCCAUUUUACCACUAGAUAGCCCCCCCAACCCCCCUUUUUCAAUCAAGUUACCACACCAGUCAACAUUGUCUCUUCACUUUUGAAGUGGACUCUCCAUCCAUUCCAUUCCACAUUUCAUGGGAAAAAAAUCUGCAGAGAAAGGCCAGCAUUUUUCUUAAGAGCAGGAGUGUGACCAUACAAUUGGGCUAGUUCAAUUGUUUCAAUGUUGGCUAUCAAACUUGGCCAUGAUCCUUCUUGGCUCUACAAGUUACAACUAUGGAUUUCAUACUCUUGAACUAUGCCACUUUCAACUCUGCAACUCCCCCAAGAAGCACUUAGGUGCCUUCACUCAUGAAACUACAACCAAAUUUACUACAUUGCCCGAAUCCCAUGAAUUCUAACAAGUUUCACUCCCUCUCUUGCUUGCUUGCUUAUAAGUUGUAAUAACUCUCUCCCAUCCCACCAAACUCUGAAAGCUCUGUGGACUUUCUUUGCGUCUUGCCCUAGACAAAGCUUGGGAAAAAGUCCCAUGCGCGUCCAAUGUGGCCUGGCUGGCUGGCUACACAACACACACACGAGCUUUUGUCUUGGUGUUUAAGCAUUAGGGCGCCAUAUGUGUUGGUCACGUGGCAAGUAUCAUGCCCACGUCACUUCUACGUGGACCAGCCAAGAUUUCGAGCUCUCGUUUGAAUCAACACCAAAUCUCGUCUCAAUAUAUCCAAACAAACGAGCAUCUAUGUAAAACAAGCUUUGUUGCAUAUCAAGAUCCAGGCUAUGAUCCAAAGCAUGAUGAUAUUAUAGAUUUCAAAGUUUUUUAGUAUGGUUGGUGGUCUGGACACUUCGUUUUCUUUUUGCCAAAUCAUGCCAUGCUGCUACUGGGAUAUCGAUCGAUCGAUCGAUCGAGAGGGUGUCUAGCAGCAGCAGCAAGUGUGCAAACAGUGGGAUCUCUUCUCUCUCUCUCUCUCUCUCUCGCUCGCUCGAUCGAUCGAUCCAUCCAAAAGAAGAGGAUGGUUCUAAUCCAAGCUCUCGAUGAUCAAUGCACGCCAUUGGAGUUCGCCCACUGCGGCCGCACGGGCGACCACUUUGGCAACCGGGGACUGAAGUAGCUGCUCACCACCCGGGCAUUGAGGAGCUCUACGAUGGGCGUGAACUUGACGCAGCGCGGGGUCUUGUACUGGUUGAUGGAAGCCCCGCGGCUGAGCGCGUAGUCCAUGAGCUGAUCGAAAGUCCCCGGCUUCACCACCUUGAUCUCUAGAGGACCGAUGCUUCGAUCCGAGGCUCUCCCCUGCCGGUAGACGCUGUCCAGCGAUUCCUCGAUGGCCAGGCAGCACUCCUCGAGCACGUCCUUCGGGAUGGGCGAGGAGCUCCGGAGCUCCCAGAAGAGGACGUAGUGGCCGGGGAUGGUGGUGGUGUCGGCGUAACUCGUGUACUCGAUGAGCCGGGCGCCGUAGCUGGACUCGAUGCCCGCGGUGGCGCUGCGCACGGCCUUGGCUAGAUCCUCCUCGCCCGUCUUGUCCGAGUCGAUGCUCAGCACGACGUUCUUGCGGCACACGAAGGCGAAUUGGGGCGCCGAGUUGUGGAAGCCCGUGACGCGGAGGAUGUCGCCCACGCGGUACCGGCACAGCCCUGUCGAAUCAGACGGCGUGAUCAUCAGCCUUGGAGGAUCCCCACAAAAGAAGAGAGAAAGCAAAGGUGGUGACCAGAGUAAACUCAGCUAUGGCUGCCAAGAACACACAUAUAGCACACCCACUGUCACGAUCAAUCAAUCAAUCAAUCAAUCAAUCAAUCCGCCAAAGGAAAGCUUAGAAGCUUCCCUCUAUCAGUCGAGAUCGAUGAUCUUACCUGCGUAGGUGGUGAUGACGAGCUCGUACUCGUGACCCAUCUUCACGUCCACGAGCUCCACCAGCUCGGACGGAUCCGGCACCCUGGCCGCCUUGCUCUUGCCGCUCUUGGGCUUGAUCUUCUUCUUGGCAACGUUAUCGUCCUGGUCGGAUGAGGAGGAAGCCGCGGAGUCCUCGUCGGAAUCAUGGUGGAGCACGGGCAAGAACUCAAAGUACGCCAUGUUGGGCAGCAGAGUGUACGAGACUUCCGAUGGCGGGCACAGCGGCUGGAGAUUGAUCCCAAAGUAGCACUCAGAGGAAGCGUACAUGGUGCACACGAGCGGCAGCCCCCCGGAGUAGUAGUCGAGCGUGGGGAUGUACUGCGCCAUGGUGCCGGUGACGAUCACGUCGAUAUACUUGGUGUUUGGCCACAGCCGCGCGAUGAUGCCGGCCCAUGACUCCUUGCGGCACUGCUCGGCGAUGUCGUCGGCCAGCGCCGGGUCGGGGCGUGGCAUGAGCGCCAGCACCGCGCGGCGCGCCGCUGCGUCCACAACCAGCUCGUUGAGCCCGCCCGCGCGGAUGUCGUCGCACAGCUCCCGCCAGUGGGUCUCGAGGAAGCGGAUGGCGCGCAGGAAUCCCGAGGCGAAGACCGCGCCCAUGCGAAGAACUUCGUGGCGCUGGAGGAGGCCGCACAGGAGCUGGCAGUACAUGCUCUGGUGCGCGUCGGGGCAGAGCACGGUCUCGUUGGGGCUCGUGUAGACGUUGCAGGGAUCGUAGGGGCGCUCCGUGAAGUAGCGGCUCUUGUAGUAGCUGGUGAGCACCGGGCGCGCGAGGAGGCCGCCCGGGGUCUUGGCCUCGGAUUUGAUGAAGAAGAGGUACAUCCCUUUGCCUUGAUCCAGUCCCGGGAGAUACCUGCGCAGCGCAUGCACGAGUUUGUCAAUCGCUAGCUCGAGCGCGAUCAAGCUCGAGACCACACUCACUGGUUCAUCACGGGCAUGAGGAGGCUGUAGAGCAGGCAGCGGCGCUCGAAUUCUUCCGAGAUGGUGGGCAUGAGUUUCCUCUGGCCAGCCGACGUUCCCGAGCUGGGAGGAGCAAAAUUGUGAGUACCAACAUCGAGAUCGCCAUCGCCCAACAUCGCAAAUGGAAAGAAGGAUCGAGAAUUUCUUUCUUACCUGGUGAGGAACUCGGAGAUGGGAUGGGCGGAGAGGAUGGGCGAGGUGUCGCCAUUGGCAAUGCGUUGGAUCUCGGGCUCGAGGUCCUCGUAGGUGAUGACGGGCAGGCAUUGGCGGAACGAGGCCUUGUCGGUGCGGCCAUUGAGGCCGUGGCGUUUGAGGUACUCGGUGUGAGCAUUGCGCUCCAGGAUGGCCGACAGCACCGCCGACUGGACUUCCGCCGCCUCGCUCGUCACCUUCUCGAUGAACUGCAAGGCUUGCUUCUCGCGCUCCUUGUGCUCCAGAUUCAUCUUGCCUUUGCGAAGUUGCUGCGAGUUUUGCGGGGGGCGCGUGUGAUCUUCUCUCCUCUGCAACACUAUAUAGAGCUCAGAUUAUCGUUCCAGCGGUGAAAUGCUUCAUGCAAUUCUCUUGACCCCUUCCACCACCAUUACCAGCACCACCACACCACCACAGACAAUGGAUCAACAAGGAAUGGAUGUUCCAAAUGAUGAGGGGAGCCUAAAGGAGGGGCGCCAAGCACAAGAGACAUACCACCACCACUAGCAAAAGAAAAGUGUGGAGGAAAAGAGAAGAGAUCUCUAUUGGCGAGCAGACGAGCGAGCAAGGGUGUUUGGCAGCCUAUCUAUGCCUAGAGCGUCGCUUUGUGUAUAGACUAGAGCGUGUAUAUGUACGAUCCAGUGGAGCGAGCGUGUGUGUUGUAUUUGUAGGUAGUCCACGAGACCAAAAGCCCAGGGAAAAGCACACCGGCAAAGGGAGAAAAAGAGUGCUAGCGUCUUUGACAACAAGCAAGGGAUAUGGAGUGAAGUUCUCACUCGCUCAACUCGAGCUCUAACUUAUUCACUCUGGGAAGAAAGAUCACACACAAGCCUGAGAGACUGGAAGAGAAAGAAGAGAUAAAAAGAGAGGAGUGUUUGAGCGAGGUGUUUACCACAAGGACGGAUUUUAUAGAGACGAAGGAGGGACCCUUCGUGAAAAAUGAAAAUAAAAAAGAGAGAGAAAAAGAGCUCUUUUUUUCUUCUUCUCGUUGCGGUGGGACCGAAGCGAACUAACACCAAACCAAAGUACCACAGACCAAGGACUCGUAUUACUCUCUCUCGCUCUCCCAGCAAAAGAAGGUCGCAAUUUUCAAAGGGGGCUAAAACAGCUUUUGGCGAGCUCCGAUGAGUGAGUGAGUGAGUGAUGAAUGAAUGAAUGAAUGAAUGAAUGAAUGCAACCGGGGAGCGAGCGAGCGAAUUGUUGGGAAAUUUUUAUACGCGCAAGGAGGAGGAGCCCAGAGAGAUUUCCCUGAAUCCAAAAACCUCUUUUGACCAUUCAAAGGGAGGAGUCAUGGGGGUGUGUUCUUGCUUGGCGAGAUCUCGCGCGCAGAGCUAGCUGGGAUGUUGGAGGACUGACCGACUUUAUAAAAACACGCUCUUUUGUUUGGAGAGCAUUGUUUAUACAAUUGAGGAGCGCGAGAUGGAAGAAGAAGAAGAAGACGACGAGGAAGAAUGAAAACAAUGCAGGGCUUCUUAAUGCACAGCACAGAUUAUGCUGCUGCCAGGAGCCAGUGCGUGCAAAUCGCGAAGAAAAACAAACCAUGUUUUAGAGAACCCAUGACACAAAACACCCACCUUUAGCGAGAGAUCUUCCUUAGAACUUGUGAACGUAAGAGUCGGGAUUUGUUAUCUUUGUUUGAUCCGGAUCUCUUAGGAGAUCGAGAGCGAGCGAGCGAACAAGCGCGUGAUCGAUCGAGAAAGAGAGAAGGCCGGAAAGGCUCUUGAUGCAAAGCUAACAUCUCCUCCAUGGUUUAUAUAGUCCCCGUCUCUUGGAGGCUGGGAUAUUCGUGGGCGAAUAUGCUGCUGGCUUGCACAGGGACAUGAUCAUCAUCGUUAUCAGGCAACAAGGAAGCAUUGUUGGAAAUUGUUUCAGUGUUUUGCCGCUGUUCAUCCAUGUCGUCACGACUCCAUCUUCCUCGUUCUCUCUCACUUGCAUGGCCCGGCACCAGACACGGACUCGUUCGUCUAUAAACGCCACCGCCACCGCCGCCACAGCCACCGCCAAUUUACAAAGUAAAAACUUGUUCCAUUCCAUUCCUCUCGCCAUGGAUCGAAGGAGAGAACCGAAGUUCCACCACCCAAGUUUAAAGGAGGUGGCCCAGAUUUACAUGCGUAAGACACCAAGCACAAGUUUCUAUCUCACUUGAUGACCCAAGGUGGCAUUUAAUGACCAGGGGACCAAACCCAAAAGAAAAAUAAAAAAAAAUUCACUCGGGGAGGCUUUGACUGGUCAACCCAUUGACCGCGUAGAAUGUACGACACGACCUCCUCCAAAUCUAGGAGGCCUACCGCACGUGAGAUGGGCCACUCCGCCAGCCACAGCCAGCCAAACAAAUGCCCUAAUUACUCGCACUCCGCCACCCUGCAGCGUGGAUUUAUGGCAAAUGCUUUUGCGCAGCGUCGCAGGAAACACGAAAGGAGGAGUUGUGCAAGCGAGCUAGCGAGCGCCGAGGAGGAACAAAAGUAACAGCGACUGGAAUGGAGAAGGAUUGCCAGGAAUGCGACCACCAUUUUAUCUUCCACCACCUUUUCUCUUCUUUGUUUUCUCUGUUUGUUUGUGAUAUGAACUAUCUUUUUAAGCAUGGUCCGGGGACCCCGGGAUUGCAUGAGUGAUCCACUCAACCGAAAUCUCUCCCCGCCUUGUUUGUGUUGCGUUGUUUAUUGGUACGGAGGGCUCUUUCUUUGGGAGACAGGAUCCCCGUCCUGGGGAUGGAUCGAAUCUAGCGAGAGAGAUUGAAUAAUACUCCGCAAGCUCUAAAGGGGGGCCAGCAGCACGCGUUUACAGGAUGAGGAUUACAGGCUCACCGCAGCUCUGGCCGGACGGGGCUUUGGUGGUAGUUACGGAAACUCACAGAACAUUCGUUUGUUUUGUGGAGAAAAUGGUCCUUUUCAUCAGAAGCGUAAUCUAUUCAAGUUAUUUUAUAAGGUUGUGCAACAUGAGAUGAACAGAGUGUUGCUGCUGCUGUUGUUGUUGGGUUUGUGCUGUUGCUGUUUGUCCAAUCCAGCCAAGCGUGCAAGUGAUGUACCACUGUUGCAAUUGACAUCGUCCUAGGUGCUUUUUGCACAACCACCGUUGACACAUCAAAUCGUCGCAAAAGCACCGUGCUGUCAGCAUGCCACCCAACAACCAGCAAACAAUAAGCAGCCACAGCAGCAACCCCCCGCCCCCUCUCCACAGCGCCCACGCUCGCCUCCAAAAACCUCUAAACUUACAAAACCACUCGGGUGAUCAAGCAAAACAGUGGGCUGAUCAAGGGCGGUGGAGAUGAUUACGUGAAUGAUUGGGUUGGCAUGCAUGAUUGGUGGCAUAGUAUAGCCUAACACGAUGUGUGUGAAGCUUGUGUGUGCCAAGCCAGGAACCCCACUCGGUGGAUCCCUUUUCGUUUCUUCCAGUGCGUUCAAUGAAAUGCACAGUUGAUUCAUGAGUUUGCACAGCCCCCACCGAUGGAUGGAUGGAUGAACGCUCGCCAACGACGUGAUAGCUAUCUUGUCGUAUAGCGAGUACGGCACGACGGGAAUUGGAGUGCAUUGAAGCAUAGCGGAGGAACAGGCCGUACCAUAUUCUUCCUGUCUAUGUGGGUUUUGUUGUUGUUGUUGAUGAUGAUGAUGAAGAAGCGGGAUGCUUUUUGGUAAUAGUACUAGUUGCUUUGCUGCUGCUGGCUGCUGCUGGCUGCUGCGGCUGGCUGCUCUGGUGCUGUCGCUGCUGCUCUCGCUAUACGCCGAUUUUUUUACACAGUGGUGGUGUGUGUUUUUGUGGUUGGCUGGUUUUUAUGAGGGGGAAAGAUCGGCCGGCCCAGACGUGGAAUCUUGAAUAGUCGCGUUCGUCCAAGUGUUGUGCUUUCUUAUGUGAGGCUCUUUAGCAGACAAGUCUUGCAAGGCCAGCCAACAAAGCGAUGUCUUUUACGCAUUUGGAAGUGGGGGAAAUGUCUGGCUGUGCCGGCAGAAAAGACGGGGCUUGUCGGGUGUGUACCCAACGUGCCCAGCUGGUCUGGCAGGGCAGGCCCCGGGCAAUGGACCCCCUCGCUCGCCCAUGAACCCUAUUCGCGCCCUCGUCGCCUCCGCCACCUUUUGUUCUAAUGCGGGUCAACCCCCUGUGGACAUUGUUGAGAUUCCGCGGGGGCGCAAUUUGCUGGUGGAGGAGCAAGCAAGCACAGAGAAACAUGUAGAUGGCGCAGUAACUUGUGUGUUGUCCUGUCUCUUUGACCCCGUGAUCUUGUACAGCUUCGUCGAUUCGCAAAUCACCUCUUGCGGAGGGGAGAAUCUUUGAGUUUUCGCGCUUGGCGGUUGCUUGGAACUCUGGAUCUUCUAUUGCGACGAAUUCUCUUCUCUUUCUAAGUUCCUGUGCUGGCUACUUGAGAGCCUUAAAGUUGGUCGUUUUUUUCUUUCUUUUUCUUUCCAGGUUGAUGUGAGCUGCCCUUGUUUGAUCCGAACCGAGCACAUCGAUCCAUUCGGGCUCGAAACUUCUGGGCGCGCACGAAAACGAUGUGAGAGGGGAGGAGUAAAUUUGUGCUGUGCUCCCUCACUUUCUUCGCCUUGAUGGCGUCGAGGAGAGUACGGUGGUCCUGCAUGUCGACGGCCGAAAGCCGACGUGCAGAGAACUAAGGAAUCACGCCUUUGAAACUCAGCAAACUCACCAGUGCCAAACUUUUUCUUACACACACAAUGGCUUAAUGUUACGUACCCGGAACAACAAAGAAGUCAUCCCGCCAUGGAAUCGUCCCGUACGUAGGUACGGACCCCUGAAAGAGCAACGUUUUAGCGGCGUUUUGAGGAAGUUCCUCCGCAGUUCGAGUUGAUCACGCUGUACGUUUGCCCCCGCCCCCCCCCAACAUUGACUCCGCAUCCAUAGGCCUGCUAAGUUUAAGCCGUCGAUCGACACACGACUCUUGUGGAUUCCAUUGGAAAGGAGUGAAAAAGUCCAAUGCUUUUGUUUCUCCACGAUCACCGAUCGGCUAGUGGGCCUUGAUCCCCCAGGGUCCAUGUCUAGCUGUGUCAAACACGAUCAAAGGCUUACGAAUCAAAGCAAUAUCCGCGGACAAACGAAAGUCUCCCAUUCCAAAGUUGAAUCGCGAGCAUUCGCUUGCGCAUGGCUUCGGUCAUUCUCAACACGUGGUUUGGAUCUAGAUUGUUUGGAAGUCAAGAUUGGAGAAAGGUCAGAGCUUUUUACGUGCUAAGUGUCAAUCCAAUGCUACAACUUGCAAGGCUAGCAUUUGCUGUAGCCUAAAACUCAUGUGUACGUGCCAACUUGAAAGAUGGCCAUGCAUGGCAUUUGCUGUAGCCUAAAGCGUCCGCACGUGUUUAGUGAAUAAGUCGUCCAUCGUCCUUCGCCGGUGCCGAACUCUUCCACAGCUCAACUAGAUCCACGCCGCGCUCAUCAUCGAUCGAGACCACGAUGUGGUCGUUGCCAAUCUCCUCCUCCAAGCCUACGCCGACGAUGCUUUCCAUAUCUUCCUGGCGAUGUGGCAAAGGAACGUCUUCUCCGGUCUCUUGGAAGAGGCGAUUAUCCUGUUCGCGGGAAUGCCCCACCGGGAUCCGGUGUGUUGGAACGGGAUGAUUAGGAGCUCCAGCCCGGAUUUCAUUGCUAAUCUCUUCCUCAGGAUUGUGGCAAUGAUCCGGAAUCGCGGAGGCGAUGGAAUUCUUUUGGGGAUGCCAGAUCGUAGCGAACUGUCCUGGAAUCUAGCAAUCGCAGCAGUUGCCAUUAAUGGGCAAAUUUCUGCAAGCGUUUCUUUCCUUUUUACGAUGACAAUGUGGAGUUUGAUUGCUUUCAACACGAUCCUCCACUCUUGUGUUGCGCACUGCAAUUACGACUCAGCGCUUGAUCUCUUGAAAAAAAUGCCAAUUGUGAAUGAAAUCUCAGGCAGCGCUGCAAUCACAGCAUUGCCGCCAAGGGGCAAAUGGAUAGCGCUUGCGCAAUGUUUUGGGCGAUCAUCCAGCGGAGCGUGAUGCUGUGGAUGACCAUGGCUGUCGCACUGUUUCGUUUCGAACGCAUAGAUCUUGGAUGGACUGUUCGCCGCUGUGGACAAGUUCUUCCUGGAACUCGUUUCUUCCAGCAAGUGCCAGUAGAGGGCAUCUUGUUCCAGAUCUUCCCGAGAGGAUUUUCAAGGAGCUGCUUCCUGCCAGAGAUUUGAUAUCGUGGAACACGAUACUGAUGGCGCUGUGCGAUCACCAACGCGUGGACCGAGAGUGGCGAUCUUCGGAGGAGCUCCAAUGUGGGGUCUUGUGACCUGGAACACGAUGCUCGGGGCAUCGGGCGAGAGGAUGACGACGAUGUUCGAUUCGAUGCCACAGAGAGACGUGAUCUCCUGGACCGUUUUGAUCACUACGGCCUUGGCGCAAUCGAUCUUCGAGAAGAUGCCGCAGAGGAGCGUCGUGCCGUGGACAGCAAUGAUCCAAGCCUUUGCCAAUCGAGGGGAUUUGCAUCGAGCGAGAGAUUGCUUCGAGCAAAUGCCCGAGUACAAUCUGGAACGCGAUGAUCCACGCGUGUGGAAGCGCUGGGAUGAUCGCGAUCGCGACGAGAUCUCGUGGAACACUGUCCUGGCAGCACUUGCCAGCGAUGGAGAUCAUCAUCACUCGAGGGCAUGUGGAUGAAGCUUCGUGGCCGUGCUGCUCGGCCGAUCACGCCACCGGCGGCUUGAUUCUCGACGAGCAUGGGUUUGGAUCACAGGUCGCCACGGCAAUGCCCUGGGCCAGAUCCACAGCUCUUCCAGCGACUGCAAUCCAUCCAUCCCAAUCCGGCGCUGUGGUCCGUUCCACAAAUCGAUCGCGCUGGGCAUUGCCUCUGAUGGUGUCACAUUCUUGGCGCUUCUCCCGUGCUGCGGUCACACGGGUCUGGUCGAUCGAGGCGUGGAGCUGCUGCGGUCCAUGGCGGGCAAUUUCGGGGUUGGCUGUGCUGGAUCUGCUGGGGCGGCAGAGUAGAAGGAGCCAUGAGCGCUGCCGUGAGCCGGGCGAGUGGCUGCAGCUCGGGACGAUGCUACAAAGCCCUAACGUGUAGAACCCUAAUUAGGGUUCUUGCGGGCGAUGGAGAAGCGGAUGCUGCUCCUCACGCUGCUCGUGCUGCUGCUUCUGGGAUCGAUCGACGCGCAGAUCUCCAAGCCGAUUGCUCACGACUCCAAUGUGGAGGAGAGCGUCAAGCAGAACAAAUUCCGCAGCCGCGAGGCCAGCGACGAUCUUCUCGGCUAUCCAAACCUGUGAGUACUUUUUUACCUCGCUUUCUUGCUUAGCUGCAUUCCUUGAUCGAUUGGAAAUUUUCCUCUUACCAAUAGUUUUUUUUUUUUCCCAUCUAGAGACGAAGAAGCUUUGGCGAACACGCAGUGUCCGAGGAACUUAGAAUUGCGAUGGCAGGCAGAAGCGAGCGCAAGCAUCUACGCUGCUCCUCUCAUCGCAGACAUCAACGGGUGAGUAUCCUUGUUUCUUUCUCUUGAUGCGAAGAAAACUGUGGAUUGAUUUGAUACAAGGGAUGGGAAACUGGACAUUGUUGUGCCGUCUUUCGUUCACUACCUCGAUGUUCUUGAAGGAGCAGAUGGGGAAAAAAUGCAAGGUGUGUUGAGUCGUGGAGCUUGAUGGUGCUACUGAUUUAUGCUUGUCCUCGCUGCUUAGGAUGGCCGGCUUAUCACCAAUCCACAGUGCAUUCCAGUCCCUUGCUUUACGAUAUUGACAAGGAUGGAUAUAAGGAAAUUCUUUUGCCGACUUACAACGGAGAAGUUCUUAUGUUCCGGUAACUUGAAGCAAAAGUUUGAAGCUCAAAACAAGUUUUGCUCUUUUUUGCUUUGUCAAGUUCGUCGGGCUAUCCGAUAAAUGAGAAGAUCACAGUUCCAAGGUUACGGGUUCGAAAGGACUGGUAUGUUGGAUUGAGUCCUGACCAUGUGGACCGAUCUCAUCCUGAUGUUCACGAUGAUGGUUUAGUGAUUCCUUCUCCUCCUGGUACGUAUCAAUGUCUCUGUGUAAAAUCCAUUCGCUCUUGUUUAGCUCUUGCGGCUUGCAGGCGUGUCAAGUGACCACGCGGUAGCGAAUGCUUCUAGUACCAUCGCCACGAAGGAUGGACAGAACGGUUCUAGUACUAUCGAGACGAAGGAUGGACAGAACGGUAGCUCUCCCGGCAAUGUUUCGGGAAAACUGGACAACUCAACCUUAAGCAACACUCCGGAGACAUUGAACGUUUCAGCAACUGCAACUGCAGGGAAUGGAUCGGCUACUUUGAAAGUUAGUGACGUCGCUGAAGCUGGGUCAGAACUUCGCAUGGGUACUACAAGUCCGAAUAACACGCAGGGAACACAGAGACGGCUUCUCCAACAGGAAGCCACAGCCGGUGACAACCGAGAGAAACUGGAAGCGGAUGCAGAGGCCACGUUUGAUGUUUUCCGUGAUAAGGGAGGGCUGAGUGACGAGUAUGCUUACGAUUAUGACGACUACGUAGACGAAUCGAUGUGGACCGAUGAUCACUGGGUUCAGGCUGUCCACGAAAGGGAAGAAGACUUUAUCGACAUAGACGCACAUAUUCUUUGCACACCGGUAAGUGUGUCUUGUUUGGUUUUUGGCAGAUGGCUAAUAUUGCCACUGUCUCCAGGUGAUUGCAGACAUUGACAAGGAUGGAGUCGACGAACUUAUUGUUGCUGCUUCCUUUUUCUUUGAUCGUGAGUAAGCUCUCCUGCCGCUUUUCAACCUUGCAUUUGGUAGCACAGGUAUUCAUUCUUUCUUUGCAGGUAUUACGAAGCAAAUCCUGACUUGCUCAGCAAGGAUGUCGAUAUUAGCAAAUACGUUGCUGGAGCCAUCUUCGUUUUUAGUUUGGACACGAAACAAGUCAAGUGGAAAAUACAUUUCGACCUUAGUACCGAUUCUGUGGCGUUCCGUGCGUAUAUCUAUUCAUCGCCGACGGUAGUCGACCUGGAUGGCGAUGGAUACCUCAGUAUCGUAGUUGGGACAUCCUUCGGAUUCGUUUAUGCUCUGCAUUACAACGGUAAUACUUGGUUUUUUUUUCUGUUCUCUCGCAGGCCUCAGAAACUUUUCCUUAACUUGUUUUGUUUGCAAUCCAGGUAUUGUAAGGAAAAACUUCCCGCUACAAAUGGGAGAGAUUCACGCCCAGGUUGUUGCGGCUGACGUAAACGACGAUGGGAAAGUCGAGAUUGUCACCGCUGACACAAGAGGCAAUGUUGUUGCCUGGGAGACCGAUGGCAAGCUAUUGUGGGAAGUUCAUCUCAAGAGUAUGAUAGCUCAAGUAAGUUUUUGAUUCGUUUCUCUAGUUUUUGAAACAAACUUGUCUUUGCAGGCGCCGACUGUGGGCGAUGUGAAUGGCGAUGGAAUAACUGACGUGGUUGUUCCGACUGCUUCAGGCAACAUCUACGUUUUGAAGGGCACCGACGGCUCAUAUGUUCCCCCGUUUCCGUUCCGUACGCACGGCCGGAUCAUGGCUUCGGUGUUGCUACUUGAUUUUGGUAACAAGGAAUCGGAGCAAGCCGACGUGGUCUUGGUUGCAACUUCGUUCGAUGGCUACCUGUACAUUAUCGAUGGGAAAACUGGCUGUGCCGACGCAACAGAUAUUGGAGAAACAUCGUAAGCCUCGAGAGCUGCUCGUGAUUACGUACUGUUUCUUUUUUUCGUUACAGAUAUACCAUGGUUUUAGUGGAGAAUGUUGACGGAGGCGACGAUCUCGAUCUGAUAGUUACAACCAUGAAUGGAAACGUCUACUGUUUCCAAACCCCAGUGAAACACCACCCCUUGAAGGUAUGAAUGUGCAUUGCCUCGUGUAUUCAAAGUGAUCUUAUCUCCAUUUGCAGGCAUGGCCGACAGCAAACCAGGGGAGGAACGUCCUGUCACCUCGCUACAAUCGCGAAGGCGUUUAUGCUCUACCUUCGUCCAGAAAGUUUCGAGACGAAGCCGGCGAGAGCUUCUGGGUGGUGUUUAAAAUCGUGGAUCAGCACAACUUGCACGGGCCUUACAACGUGACUGUAAGUUCCUCCUCGAAGCUCGGCCUUUCCAUUUCUCCAAAACUUAUCCUUUGUUUCUCUCGCACAGCUGACGCUCUUGGUCCCGGGGAACUACCACGAGCCUCGAAGGAUCACGCAGUGGCAUCGCUACGAUCAACCGGGGGUCCAGAAGCUCAAAGUCCCGUGCGUGCCAAUCCGGAGCACUGGAACAGUGACGCUGGAGAUGGUGGACAGGCACGGCCUCGCUUUCACCGACGAAUUCUCGCUAACGUUCCAUAUGCACUACUAUCGACUCCUCAAAUGGUUCGUGGUUCUACCAUUGCUGGGAAUGCUUGUAGCCAUCGUUGGUCUUCAUCCCGAAGAUCACGUCUCGCUACCUUCUUUCUCUUCCAAUGGUAGGCACCAAAUGUAGGAACCAUGGUUGAAGUUAACUCUUGUCAAGGAUUAAAAGUAAACUCUAGUUAAUUUUCCUAAAACCCUAGCUAUGGCGGCCAUUUGACGAGCGCUCUCUCUGGCGGUCGUGAUGGCGCCUCUCCCACUUAUCGGUGAGUUUCUUCGCAGAUUUCUCGAGGUUAAGUUGAUUCGUCGCGGCGAUCGCAGUGCGGAGCGCCGAAGGGCUGACGCUGCUAGGCGGCGAGAGCGAGAAGCUGCAGAGGUAGAAUUUUGGUUUCUUGACGUUUCUUAGCUCUCACACAUUCUUCGCAUUCUUCCAUUUGCGAAGGCUUGCUUGCGCUGGAGCAUCGGUUAGCAAGGAUGGAAGCGAGCUAGCUGUGAUCACUGGCGAUGGAGUGGAUGUCUUUGAUCCAGUGACUUGCAACAAAAUCCAAUCUUUUCGGUUGGACGUUGUUGUUGCUGCUGUCUUCUCGUCGGCCGGAUCGUUUCUACAGAUCUUUCGAAAGGCAACCGGUCCGGAAGACAAGAAUGUUGGCAUCUGGGACGUGAAAACUGGGGAGGCAGUGGUUCUCUUCUAUCAGAAAAACUUUUCAAAGUCAAGCUGGUAAGAAAACUUUUUUCUUCCUUUCUUCUUGUUUAUAGUCUUGAAUUCUUUUGGUUGUGUUUACAGGCCGAUUCUCCAGUUCAGCGACGACGAUUCUGUGGCUUGCCGGCUUGCAACCAACUCGGUCCAGAUCUACGAUGCCAAAAACUUUGCAAAGGGUGCUGUCGAUCAUUUGCGUUUGCCUGGAAUUCAAGCUGUGAAACUUUCUCCAGCUUCUCCGUCCUAUCUCGCAACGUUUAUUCCGGAGAGCAAGGUUUUAACUUACGACGAUCUUUCUCAUAUCUUACAUGGUUUUCUGGUUUUAUCAGGGACAACCGGCCGUGGUGCAAAUAUAUGAUCGUAAAGAGGCUAGCAAAUGUCAAGCACUGGCUCGACGUAGCUUCUUUAAGUCGAGUAGCGUCACCAUGACUUGGAACGCGGGCUCGACCGGAUUGCUUGUGCUAGCGGUCACUGACGACGAUAAAUCCAACCAAAGCUACUACGGCGACACCAAAUUGUAUUACUUGAAAAGCGAUGGGACUUGUGAAGGGACGGUUCCUCUGAGUAAGUUCAUGUUUGUUCUAGCUCUUUAAUGUGAUGAAUCUUGUGCAGACAAAGAGGGGCCUAUCCAUGACGCUCAGUGGUCCCCGACCGGCAAAGAGUUUAUUGUCGUCUAUGGCUGUAUCCUUUCAACCGUUUUAUAUCUAUACUGUAUCACUUAACGAGACGUCCAGACAUGCCUGCUAAAGCUGCUCUCUUCGAUACACAAUGCCGGCAGGUUUUUGAUUUUGGAUCUGGACCUUAUAACACCGUGCGGUGGAAUCCCUUUGGAAGCUGUAUCCUUGUGGCGUUUCUUUUCUUUUUUGUACUUUGGCUAGUUCUUCCUGACAGGUUCAAGUUAUCUGUUUGGCUGGGUUCGGGAAUCUUCCGGGUGAUAUGGUAAGCAAUAAGUGUUUUAUGAUACACUGCUUAUCUUUGCCACUUCUUCUUCAGGUGUUUUGGGACCGGAACACGCUAAAAUCGAUUGGAAACACGAAAUCUCCCUGCUCAGUAACGUGUGAAUGGGCACCCGAUGGCCGGCUACUGAUGACGGCCACGACCGCUCCUCGAAUGCGAGUCGAUAACGGGUAUAUGUUUGCUAUUUUACGUGAGUGGCGAUUACCUCGACUUGCAACAUCAGGAUAAGGAUCUUCAAGUACACGGGAGCUCUGUUGGAGGAACAAAAGAUCAACGAUCUUUAUCAAGUGAGUGCUUGGUUAUAUUUUGCUUUAGAUGUAAUAUUUCCUCGUUUGUUUCAUCAGGCGGACUGGCUGCCUGGACAGUAUGUUGAGAGGCCAGCUUCGCCAGUUUCUGCCAAGAGUUCACAAAAAGAAAAACAACCAUCUGGUAUGUUUUUGAUUAUAAAAAAAAAUAAAAUUCUUUACUCGGUUUGUUCUAUGCUUUUUAGCGGCUGCUAUAGCCAAACCUGCAGCUUACCGUCCACCUCAUUCAAGCAUGUCGGCGUCAGUGCGUGCUCAGGUAAGUAAUCAGAACAAAUCGGGCUGUAUUACGUGAUGGAAAACUCUGUUGCAGCUAUUUGGUGAAGAGGACUCCAAUGCUGGAAGGUUUGGAGCAAAUCCUUUUGUCUGAACUUUUUCUAACUUUUUUUUUUUUUGCGAACCCAGUGGGUUGAGCAAAUCGGCUCUUAAGAACAAAAAGCGACGUGAGAAACAGAAAGAAAAGUCUGAAACACUUCCCGACGCACCAGUGAGUAGUAGUUCAUUCUUUUUCUGCAGCUAACUCCUUUCAUCCCUGGUUCUAGGAAGUCGUGAAGGAGGUCAACAGUGAGACAUCUUCAGGUGAGACUGAGAGUCGUUUAAACUGCCUUUUGCUGUGCUCAGAAAUUUAGCUUACAGGAGAUGAGUUUGCGAAGAAAAUUCGAGCUCUGAACAAGAAGCUGCGGCAGAUAGAGGAACUCAAGAACAAGUUAAGUGGGCAGACGCCAUCUCAAGAACAGAAGAGCAAGCUUCAGCAGGAGGCGUUAUUGAGGGAAGAAAUCAGGAAAUUGGAGCUCUCUUCAUAGAUGGUUCUGCCUGGAAUGAAGUUUUGUUUCGACAGUUAAACGCUGGUGAUUCGGAAACUCAAACGCGAUCAAGCGUGUACAGGUUCUUGAAUUUCUUUCGCUGUCUUUAUUCAUUCUUAUGGUUUGUUUAUUGUUCAGGAUGAAGCAGCGCGUCCUAGUACCAAUCUGCAAAGCUGAAGAGAGAUUUCUAAUGACAUAGCCUUUUCAAUUCGAACAAUUUUUAGUCAUUACAGCUUGACUUGGCUGGUUCUCAUUUUGGUUUUAGCUUGCCUGGCAGGUCCAAAAGUUCUUGUACCAUGGAGCACUAGUCGAGGUAGAGAUCGAUUCAUGGAAGGCUUCUCAAUUGUUUUUUCUCCCUUUUUCCAGUGCAAGGAUACUACUCUCCAGGAAGUGACAACACUCAUGUUAGUUUUUUAAGUCAACGGGAUUUUAUUCGCAAGGAAAAAAGAUCGUACUGCCUUCCCAGGUCGGUAGGGUUUGAUAGUUUUUGAUAUGAAGAGGUGCUAGCUCGACUGAUUUUUCCAUUGGCAGUGCUAUGGCGAUUGUAGGAACGACGAGCUUUCCUCGUGUUUACGCAAAUGGAGAUAAGGGGAGAAUUAGGGAAAGUGGUAGCAUGGCGGUGACAAGUCGUCCGCGAACUUCAUGGCUGUCGGUCUACAAGAUCUCCGACACCAUCUGGAAGAGGAUCAUCCACUUCCGGGGGCAGCCAACUUCGUCGAGCGUCACAAUUGUCGCGGACAAGAGGAGCAAGAGCGAUGAGAAGCAGGAGGACAAGAUUGCGGCAGUGGUAGCCGACCAAGCCGACCCUUCGGUCGCUUGGGAGCAAAGGGUCAAAGACGUGGAAGCCGAGAAGCGGCGUCGAGCGCUGCUCAACCCGGGAUUUAGCUUCUCAGCUGCUGGGCUUUUGUUCCCUUACCACCUGGGCGUGUGCCAGUGCCUCAUGGAGCGGAACUAUAUCACGGUACGAUCGAGCUCCAACUCUUCUCCAUUUUCUGCUUUUCUAUCUUCGCAGGAGGAUACUCCUUUAGCUGGAUCGUCGGCUGGAGCGCUCGUUUGCGCUGUUGUAGCGGCAGGGAUGAGCAUGCAAGACGCACUGGUCGCAACCAAGGAUCUAGCACAAGAUUGUCGUGCCAACGGGACCGCUUUCAGGCUCGGGGUAAGAGAGAUCUCUCGAGGUACUGAGUCUGUGUCUAGUUUGCUCAGAGCUCCUCUUUAUUGUCUCCGUCACUAGGCUGUGCUGAGGAGAGUUUUGUACAAAGUUAUGCCCGAUGACGCGCACGUUAAGGCGAGCGGGAGGAUCAGAGGUAUGGAGCUGUCUCUUUUCUCUCUCCCUUGUGUCAUGCUAAGUUCACUACUUCUCUCUGCAGUUGCAAUCACGCAACUCUUUCGAGUACCAAGAGGCCUGCUCGUUGACCAGUUUGAUUCCAAAGAAGAUCUGAUCAACGCGUUGCUUACGUCGUGUUUCAUUCCCGGGUAAGUAGUUUGCUCUUGCGUUCCAUUAAGAUGGGAGCUUGACUGGUUUUUAGUUAUCUAGCACCACGACCUGUUACCGUCUUCAAGAACAGACUGUGCAUCGACGGCGGGUUCACGCUCUUCAUGCCCCCUUCAGCUGCUGAAACAACGGUUCUUUCGUGUCACUUGCUAAGAUUCGAGUUGGCUUCUGAAACUUUCGCUUUGCUUUUACACAGGUACGAGUGUGUGCCUUUUCUGCCAAGCGCCUCGGUCUUCAAGACACAGUGGGUAUCAGCCCGGACUGUAAUCCCGACAACCGAGCCUCUCCAAGACAGGUACAGAAAUAAUAAAGGUAUUUAGUAAAUUUCUCGACUGUUUUGCAGCUUUUAAACUGGGCUUUAGAACCGGCUGGAGAUGCAGUAUUAGAUGAGCUCUAUGUCCUGGGCUACAAGGAUGCUGCAGUGUGGGCAAAUGCAAAUCCUUUGAUCAAUUUUAGAGGCAAGGCAGCAGCUGCUCCAGUUUGAAGAUGCAACAAACGAUUGCUGUAUCAUACUAGAGGCAUUCAUGCGAAGGUAAGAAAGGAAAUAUAGAGAUUCUUUGGGACACCAUUCUCUAGAGACUAGCAUUUGUACACAAAAGUUCCUUGUUCUACAUGGUUGUCAAAAGAAUCAAACGUUGUCAAAAGAAACAAACAAGAAACUACGUGUGAAGCUUCAUGGUCAGUUGUGUGACUUUGUCAAUCGCGUUCUAUUUUCCCAGCCCACGUUUGAGAAUUUUCCAGUCAAGCGCGUAGGUACCGGGAAGGCGGGCGGCUUCCUGGUAUAAAAGCCCAACCAGGGAAACCCAGACAAUUCAUCGAUCCCAGUCUGCAAUCUUCCAUCCUCUAGCCUGAAAUUUGAGAUUUUCUCUUUUUCUUCAUAACACCCAUGGCAAGUUCAUAUCCAAAGGACAAGAUUGCAUUCCUGUACAUCCACAGAGAGAGUGGUGAGAUUGGCUUCGUCUCACAAUCUGCGUCCAGGCAUGUCCCAGUACUAGCAGCAAAGUGUGAUUUCUUGUUCUCCUCCAUGGUCGCGAGUGACAAGGCGGAAGAUUUAGAGGCUGCUAAGCAGGCCACACGCUCAGUUGCUCCAGAGAUGAACAAGUACACCAUUUCCAUGCUUGGAGCAGCAGCUGACCAGGAGUGGACAGCCACCGUCUACGAGAGAUACAUUGGGAACGGGUUCGAGGGCGUGGUUUUCAUCCAGGAUCCCAAUCUCCAGGAGGAGGACAGCGAGAGCAUGAGCUAUCUGGCCUCUCUGCUGCUGGACAACGGCGUCAUGACCAGAGAUUGCCUUCUGGAGCCCUCCAGCUCGCACACACCUCAAGAGGUGGACGACAUCACCUCCCAAGUUGUGGACAUCAUCGAGAAGAAUUACAUCCACUUCCCAAAGCACGACCAGUGGUUCACAAGUGGGGGCAAGCAGAGGUUUGCGGACAAGGUGAGGUACCACGUCGCAAGAAACAUUCCACUCGAGUUCGUCUUGCCCGCAUUUCCAGUCAAGUCGUGCAAUCCCGACAAGACUCUGGGAAAGUGCCCGGACAAGGCCGAGGAGCUGGCCAUCCAUUCCAUGAAGAUUGUUGCGGAUCUCAUCAAGGCCGUGUAUGCUCCAGGCGUGCACUACAACGUCGCCUCGGAUGGCCAUGUCUUCUCUGAUCUCGUCGGCUCGGACGACGCUGCUGUGGAUUCUUACGGCGAGAUGUUUUGGGAGAUGGCACACAAUCUGUAUCCCGGCCUUGUCAAUUUCUUUCGCCUGGAUGAGUUUCUGCUGGACAACCACAGUGACAAAGACAUUGCAAAGCUUAUCUCCAACACCACCGUGGAGCAUCCCGUUGCGACUGAGCUCACCGCCAAUGCAGAGAAUGCCAGGCGAGCUCUCAUGUGCUUGUUUGGAUGUGACGAGUCAACCGUCACCAAGGAGAUCAAGGAGGACCCGGAGACACGCAAUCUAUAUCGUGGCUUCUCCAGGUUCAUGCUCGAGGACUUGUACGAACACAAGAGCUGCAAGAAUCUCCCGUCAAAGUCGGCCAAGAAGAAGCUGUGCAGCCAGGUUGCCUUCCUCAUGAUCCUCAGGAACCGUGCAUACUCGGCCAUGGUGGAGUGGCUCUUCCCUUUGCAGCUGCGCAUUUCCAUCCACCCGCAUCCAAACAGAGGUCCCAAGUAUGGCAUCAACAUCAUCCAUUCCUCUCUAGUGGCAGCGCAGCGUUCUUCCGAGGAGAAGAACUUCCACAUCCCAACACCAUGGCACAACGCGGUGGUGGAGCUGGCAGAUGGCAAGUUCAUGCUGCUGCACUCCAAAGUCAUCCGAGGUUCGAGUAUGCAGGCCACAGAAAUGGCCUGUGAGCAGCUCGAGUUGAGUCAACAGUUGGUUCUCAAGCGUCAAGGCUACAGAAUGACGCUGGUGACAUAUCCAGACGGC